CUGGGGCCCAGACCUUGAGCUGUGUAAGGGGCCCCCCAAAAAAUUGAGCUGCUUCCAAUUCUCCCAGAACAUUGAAUUUUGUGACCACAGUUGCAAACAGCCUCCAGAGAUCCUGUUCUACACCAGACCAGUGGAGCCAAACUGCAGCCCAUCAUCAUCCUCAUCUGCUUGUAAGUAGGCAAUCUAGUAUAUUAUUAUUGACACUAAUCUAUAAUGUACCUCACAUUAAAGGGACACUAUAGCUUAAUGAAGUGGUUCUGGUGUCUAUAGCUGGUCCCUGCAGGCUUUUUAAUGUAAACACACACUGUGUGCAGCACUGGCAUUAGUUCAUAUGGCAGAUCAUAUGGGUGGGGCAUUGUGAUGUGACAUGUGGGGGCAGCAAAUUUUUAUUUUGUCUAGGGUGGCAAAAAUCCUUGCAGGGAGGGAGCUGCGUGAGCUGCGCUGGCUCUGCUCCCCAGCACGCAGCUGAAUGAGACCGGCGCCGGAAUAUGACGUCAUAUUCCGGCGCCAGUCUCAUUCAGCAGCGCGCGAGGGCGGGAGGGCACUAACACAGGAAGCACCUCUAGUGACCGUCUGAGUGACUGUCACUAGCAGUGUCACUUUGAAGCAAUGUAAACACUGCCUUUUGCCUGAAAAGUCAGUGUUUACGUUGAAAAGCCUGUAGGGACAUGCUAUAGACACCAGUACCACCACAUUAAGCUGUGUGUGCGUCUGCUAGUGAGUGAGCUUGCUUGCAUGCAUGUGCCUGCUAGUGAGUGAGCUUGUGUUUUUAUGUCAAUGAGCUGAUGUAUAUCAGUAAGAUUGUUUGUCUAUGAGGCUGUGUAUCAAUGAGCUUGUGUGUGUCACUGAAAUGUCAGUGAAAUUGCCUGUGUCUGCAUGUGCGUAUGCUUACUGUAUAAUUAAACGUUUUACCCUGAAAGGACCAAUAUUUUAUAUUAGAAAAAGCAAUAUAUAUAUAUAUAUAUUACUCAAUCAUCUGUCCUGGCAAGACAUAGCCUUACAUAUUACACGCGACAAUAUAUGGCGCAGUGACUUAUGGGGCUGGCACAAAUUUUUUUUCCAUGGCUGCUUUGUAUCCCCAGUCCGGCCCUGCCUGUGAUGUGUUUUAUGAAACUGUAUUUCUCUGUCUGUGAUAAUUAGAUUACCCAUUGUGUAAGGUAAUUGUAUUACAGGCAGAGGGGAGGAUUUUGUGUGGGAGUGUCUGUGUGUAUUGUACAGAUUGAUUGGUUGUUCUGUAAAACCCUGUGGGCAGUACUAAAUUUGUGGAUUGGGAAUAAAAGAGGCUGUAUGUGCCAAUCCAGUCAGUUCCUGCUUAACCCUCAAAGUGAAGUGUCGUCUCAUUAUUGGGGGAGGAUUUACUGUAUGCUGUUAGAGACUGAUUGCCAGGAGUGUAAGCCGCUUGGGGGCUUUUCCUGUUCGUCUGCUAGCAACUAUUUGUGUGUCUCCAGUUCGGGAGUUUCGAGUAUUCCGUUGGUUGCAGUUCGGGAGUUGGUGAAUUCGUGGGUUUGCAGUUCAGGAGAUUGGUGCUUGCAGUAGCUGUCGGUGCAGCUGAAAAAGGGGAAUAUCGCCUGUGUGCAAAACGGUCCGUUACAAUUGGUGGCAAGCGGUGGGAUGGCGUCCUAGUGCGAGGUAAAGCAGCUCAGAGACACCGUUCGUGGAGUUACAAAUUGAGGGCAACGCUAGCACACGUGCAGCGCCCCUGGGAGCAGAGGUAUCCAGCGACUUGGAGCAGACAAGUAUGGAAGGCUCUGGCGAUGAUGGAGGUACGCCGGGUGAUCUGGAACCAGGUCACGGCCGAGCGAAACACAAGGUUGGCCUGAGAAUUCCGGCUGGCGAAAGAGAGAGAGUAUGCUCAGCGGAAGGAGUGUUACAGCAGCCGAGUAGAGGCUGCGUCCGAGGAGGCUAGCCGUCUCCCACUAAGGUGGCCGCAGGAACCCGAAGUAGGGGUCCUCAUAGACUGGUCCUGUGAGGAACCACAACAGGCAGGGGGAGAUGGGACCGAGGUCUCUCCACCGGGCCCACCGGGAUGCUGGGCAGCCGGCCCAGAUCCCCAGCAGCAAAUGUUGAGGGACCUCACGGACUGGUCCUGGGAAGACCCACAGACAGCAGGUGGAGAUGGGACGGCGGUCUCUCUACCGGCCCUACCGGCCCUACAGGGAUGCAGGGCGGUCGGCCCAGAUCCCCAGCGGCAGUGUGUACCCCAGGGAGCAGAAAGUGCUAUCCUUCCUCCCCAGUGGCAGUGUGUAUCCCAGGGAGCUGAAGGUGUCGUCCUUCCUCCCCAGCGGCAGUGUGUACCCCAGGGAGCAGAAGGUGCUGUCCUUCCUCCCCAGUGGCAGUGUGUGUCCCAGGGAGCAGAAGGUGCCGUCCUCCCUCCCCAGCGGCAGUGUGUAUCCCAGGGAGCAGAAGGUGCCGUCCUUCCUCCCCAGCGGCAGUGUGUAUCCCAGGGAGCCAAAGGUGUCGUCCUUCCUCCCCAGCGGCAGUGUGUACCCCAGGGAGCAGAAGGUGCCGUCCUUCCUCCCCAGCGGCAGUGUGUACCCCAGGAAGCAGAGACCGUCUGUCUCGCACCCCAGCCGCAGGACAAAAUAUUGAAAGGGAGACAGUUGGUCCCCCUCUCCACCAGCAAAGAGAGUGUCAGGGAGAGGAGCAGGUUACCCCCUCUCCCCAGUGGCAGUCUACAGUUCAGAGAGAGGAGCUUGUUACACCCUCUCUCCAGCGGCAGCCUAACCCACCAAGGGGAGAUGUUAAGCCCCACAACUAUGCAGAUGGGACCGUAGUCUCUGCACUUGCAGCACCAAGGGUAGGGACGGUCGGUCCUGUCCCCCAGCCACAGAGCAGUGUAUCCAGAGGGGAGACAGUCGGUCUCCCCCUCCCACAACCAGGCUCCAACCAGGCUACUUCAGUGGUAGCGCUGGCACCCGGGCAGAGUACCGCUGGUCUCUGCCCACUCAGCAACCCACCAAGGCAGUCUACCAGCCCCCCGCACAGCCGUGGUGAGGCACCUGGACAUGGACAAGUUGCUAUUUUAUCCAGGUGUAGUAACCAGUUAUUGUGGGUGGGCUGUAUUGCUGUUUGUGCUUCGUGGGUGGGUUGCUGGACUAACCAGGGCACUGACCGGCAGGAGGUCAGAUACCCUGUUAGUCUGGAUGGUAAAGGGGAGAAAUGUGGCGAAACCGGCCUCGCCACGUGUCCUUGGAGGGGGCUGCUUGCCCGCCUCUUGCCUUUGGACUAUGGACCAGACUUUAUGUGAAUGUGUUAACCCAGAUAGCUAUGCCAUGGAGCCCAUUCGUGUAGUUAAAGACUUCGGCUCCAUGGCAAUUGAACUGUGUGAAUAGGAUCUGAGCGCUAUUCGGUAGUUUUGUGCGCUCAGAUCCCAGCUAUCUGGGGAUAUGUGAAAUGUCUGUGUGUUAUGUGUAAAAGGUGACUUUAUGUAUUUUAAAGUGUUUUAUGUCUUUUUGCAACCAUGUGCUCAAUGGGGUCUGCCUCUAUCCCUGGAUAAAUGGAUUACUUUCCCCCAUUGUCUCCAGGAUAGAGGGCUCUGUAAAACCUGUUUGAGCCAGAUAGCCAUGUGCCAGCCAGGGCCCAAAAGAUACUUUUACUAACUUUUGAACCCCUGGUCGGAUUCAUGACAUUUUUUAAUAUGUUGUUCCCCUGAAUGGAUUGAUUGUGAAUAUGUAAUUUUAUGUGAAUGUGAUGUAUGGUUUUAGAGUUAUGAAAGUUGGGUAGAAAGUAUGUUUUAACUGUAUGUGUAAUUGAGUUUCCUCUCAGGAUAAGGGGAGGGAAUAUGUGGGAUGUAACUGAUAUGUGAUUGGUUGUUUUAUACCUCCCUGUGGGCGGUCCUGUAUGUGAAAGGCUGUAAUAAAAACCAGGCUGGGUGUGCCAGCACAAGAGUUCCUGUUUUAACCCUCAAAGUGAAGUGUCGUCUCAUUAUUGGGGGAAGGAUUUAUUGUAUGCUGUUCCAGUUUGACUGCUAGGAGAGUAAACCUAUUCGUAUGGUUCCUAUUCAACUGUCUACAGCAUUCAUAUGCUUGGGAGAAUUUAUUUGUUUCUCCGGUUCGGUGAUUGUGGUGUCUGCCAGAGUGCUUGGAGUCCUCAGGAAGCGCUAGGAGCAUCCUUCAACGGAGGUACCCAGUCGGGGUGCCAGGCGAUCCGUUACACCUCCCCUCUGCCUGUGAUAUAAUUAUGGUACACAAUGGUUAACAUAAUUAUCACAGGCAGGAAAAAUACAGUUUUUANNNNNNNNNNNNNNNNNNNNNNNNNNNNNNNNNNNNNNNNNNNNNNNNNNNNNNNNNNNNNNNNNNNNNNNNNNNNNNNNNNNNNNNNNNNNNNNNNNNNCUGACUGCUAUUCAAUCUUAUACAGUGAAAAAAGAUUAUUUUUUUUUUUAAAUCCAAACUAUUGUGACACAGGAUCUAAUUAGUGGCACUUGUCAGCGUAUCCACUGUUAGCGUAACACACCCGCUUUAAGGACACUGACUGCUAUUCAAUCUAUAACAGUGAAAAAAGAUUAUUAUUUAUUUUAAAUCCAAACUAUUGUGACACAGGAUCUAAUUAGUGGCACUUGUCAGCGUAUCCACUGUUAGCGUAACACACCCGCUUUAAGGACACUGACUGCUAUUCAACCUAUAACAGUAAAAAAAGUUUUUUGUUUUUAAAUCCAAGCUAUUGUGACACAGGAUCUAAUUAGUGGCACUUGUCAGCUUAUCCACUGUUAGCGAAUACUAAUCCGGGCUUUAAGGACACUGACUGCUAUUCAAUCUAUAACAGUGAAAAAGCAUUAUUUUUGUUUUAAAAUCCAAACUAUUGUGACACCAGAUCUAAUUAGUGGCAAUUCUGUCAGCCGCAUCCACUGUUAGCGCAACACACCCGCUUUAAGGACACUGACUGCUAUUCACCUAUAACAGUAAAAAAGUUUUUUGUUUUUAAAUCCAAGCUAUUGUGACACCAGAUGUAAUUAGUGGCACUUGUCAGCGUAUCCACUGUUAGCGUAACACACCCGCUUUAAGGACACUGACUGCUAUUCAAUCUAUAAACAGUAAAAAAAGUUUUUUGUUUUUAAAUCCAAACUAUUGUGACACCAGAUCUAAUUAGUGGCACUUGUCAGCGUAUCCACUGUUAGCGUAACACACCCGCUUUAAGGACACUGACUGCUAUUCAAUCUAUAACAGUAAAAGUUUUUUGUUUUUAAAUCCAAGCUAUUGUGACACAGGAUCUAAUUAGUGGCACUUGUCAGCGUAUCCACUGUUAGCGUAACACACCCGCUUUAAGGACACUGACUGCUAUUCAAUCUAUAACAGUGGAAAAGGAUUGUUUUUUUUUUUAAAUCCAAGCUAUUGUGACACCCAGAUCUAAUUAUGGCACUUCGGGUCACCGUGAUCCACUGUUAGCGAAUACACCCGGGCUUUGAAGAUAACCUAACUGCUAUUCAAUCUAUAACAGUGAAAGUGUUUGUUUUUUUAAAUCCAAGCGCUUUGUGUCACCAGAUCUAAUUGGUGGCACUGGUCACCGUAUCCACUGUUAGCGUAACACACCCGCUUUAAAGACACUGACUGCUAUUCAAUCUAUAACAGUGAAAAAAGUUUUUUUUUUUAAAUCCAAGCUUUGUGUCACCAGAUCUAAGUGGUGGCACUGGUCACCGUAUCCACUGUUAGCGUAACACACCCGCUUUAAGGACACUGACUGCUAUUCAAUCUAUAACAGUGAAAAAAGUGUUUUUGUUUUUAAAUCCAAGCUAUUGUGACACCAGAUGUAAUUGGUGGCACUGACUGGGGAAAUGGGCACAGUAUGCACUGUGAGCCUGACACAGAAGCUGGCAGCAGUGGCAGACAACUGACUGCUAUUCAAUCUAUAACAGUGAAAAAAGUUUUUUGUUUUUAAAUCCAAGCUAUUGUGACACCAGAUGUAAGUUGGUGGCACUGACUGGGGAAAUGGGCACAGUAUGCACUGUGAGCCCGACACAGAAGCCAGCAGCAGUGGCAGACAACUGACUGCUAUUCAAUCUAUAACAGUGAAAAAGUUUUUUGUUUUUAAAUCCAAGCCAUUGUGACACCAGAUGUAAUUGGUGGCACUGACUGGGGAAAUGGGCACAGUAUGCACUGUGAGCCUGACACAGAAGCUGGCAGCAGUGGCAGACAACUAAGUGCAUUUACAUUACAUAGAAAAAAUAAAUAAAAAAAAGCAUACCCUUAUCCCCUAACCUAGCUAUGCUUUUCCCUAUCUUAUGAACAGCAGCUACACUUUCCCUCCUCUUACUAAGCAUGCAGCUUGAGAAUGAAUCUAAAAUGGAUGCCUUCCAGGAGGUGGGAGGGUCUGCUAGGGAGGGUGUGCUGCUAAUUGGCUGGAAUGUGUCUGCUGACUGUGAGGUACAGGGUCAAAGUUUACUCAAUGAUGACGAAUAGGGGGCGGGUCGAACCGCGCAUAUGUUCGCCCACCGUGGCGAACGCGAACAUGCUAUGUUCGCCAGGAACCGUUCGCCAGCGAACCGUUCGGUACAUCACUAGUCAGGAAUAGCCAAAAUCAAAAUACCAGGAAGAUCAAAUAACAAGAACAAGGAAAACGCACUCUCGGGAACCAGGAACUGAAACCACGACAGGGCAAUGGGCUAGGGAACUUCAGGGAUUUAAAUAUCAUUCCUUGUGCUGUGAUUGGUCAGAGCUUGGCCUCUGACACCAGAACGUGCGUGUGUGUCAGCGUUGUGACGUCACACGCAUGUUCCCGUGACCCUUGGAGGUGGAGGCUGUGACCCUGUGAUCGGCACCUUUUUGUUUGUCUUUUGUGGAGGGGACGGACGCCCCAGCGGGACGGCUCACUGCUGAACAGGUAAGUUCACUAAUCUGUCAGGGUGGUCGCACCAAUCGGGUGCGACCACGUGCAGCCGCGAGUCAGGGUCCAUGACAGUACCCACCACUUGAAGACCGCCCACGAUGCGGGAAGGAGCAGGCUUGUUAGGAAACCAGUUGUGAAACGACCGGACAAGACGAGAAGCAUGGACUCUGUCAGUAGCGAUCCAAGAUCGUUCCUCAGGGCAGUAACCCUUCCAAUCCACCAAAUAAGACAACACACCUCUAGACAUCCUGGACUCCAAUAUGGAAUGGACCUCGAAUUCCUCCUGUCCACCAACAACCAAAGGAGGAGGAGGCAGGAAUUGCUUUGUGUACCAGUUGCAAGUAAGCGGUUUUAAUAAAGACACAUAAAAAGAAUUUGAUAUACACAAAUGAGAAGGAAGGGCAAGUGAGUAUGUCACAGGAUUAAUACGUCGAAGGACAUGGAAAGGAUCUAUGAAUCGAGGAGCCAGUUUCAUGGAAGGUACUUUCAAUUUUAUAUGAAAAAGCCAGACCAUGUUCCCAAUUUGAUAGACGAAAAAACGACUAAACACACACUAUACUUGUUACAAUGUACAGACAAAUGUGACAAGAUGUGUAGUCUGGAAAUUAAAAAUAGCCCAAUUAUAGUAGAAUAUUCAGUAUAAAUACACAAAAACCUAUGUUCAAAAAUAAAUGGAAUGUCAAAAACUAUCACUAUUAAAUGAUAGAAAUAGAGUAAUUAAAAUUGAAAGGGUAAUAGAAGUGAAAAAUUCAAACAAUUCAAAAAUGCUCCACAACAUACACACAUAUAUAGGAGUAGUUAAGUGUAUGGGUUUCUAGUAUCUAUAUAUGUGAGCUUUAUUGUGUCUGGCUCUAUAGAUAUCGAAACACCAUCUAUUAUAAUAUACACAAAAAAGAUAUAUGUAUGUAUUAAUAUAACCCGUCUUGGUAAUACAUAAUCUUAUUAAUGCUUCUGAUUUAUAGAUAUUCUAAUUAAUAGGAAAAAGAGAGAUAUUAAUACGCUGCCAGUAAGUAUGGCAGUAAAUUAUAAAUUGUAAAUCUCAUAUAUCCAAAUAUCCGCGAAUAGAUCAGAAGCUGAUCUCUUCCAGAUAUACUUCCAAUAUACCCAAAAAGUCACAAACAUACAUAGCCCAGAGUCUGAUUUCUAAGUAGAGAUGUCGCGAACUGCUCGCCGAACUGUUCGCCGAACUGUUCGCGAACUGUCCGCCAGCGAACAAUAGUGUGUUCGCGUUGGGCGAACAUAUGCGAUUUCCGGUCCGCCCCCUAUUCGUCAUCAUUGAGUACAUUUUGACCCGGAACCUCACAGUCAGCAGACACUUCCUGGGAGGGAGGGUCUGCUGCUGAUUGGCUGGAAUGUGUCUGCUGACUGUGAGGUUCCGGGUCAAAGUGUACUCAAUGAUGACAAAUAGGGGGCGGACCGGAAGUCGCAUAUGUUCGCCCAACGCGAACACACUAUUGUUCACCGGCGGACAGUUCGCGAACAGUUCGGCGAGCAGUUUGCGACAUCUCUAUUUCUAAGUUGACAAAUAUUGAUAUUUCCUUGUAGGUUAUUUGGAAUAGAAGUUACCAAGUUAUAUGUCUGCUGGCAACAUAUCAAAGAGGUUUAGUCUGUCAAAAUGUUAGAAAUAGUUACAGAGUAGAGAGCAAAGAUAUAAGAUUAUGUUGCUAGAAAAACUAGCAAUAAAAUUAAAUUAUGAAAGCCUCUCUCCCGGGUAAACUAUCUAGACAGAGAAGAUGCAAAAAGAAAUGAAACAUAGUUAUAAUUAAUUGAAAAAACCCAUGUGAGGCAAACUAAUGUGCCGUGUUAAGUGCCCAUUUAAAAUCUAAGAAGAACAAGGUAAACGCCUGACGCGCGUUUCAGUGCUAUGUAUAUUGCACCUUCAUCAGAGACAAACGUACUACUGGUUGGAAGUGUGAUUAUAUACCUUAUUUGCCCGGUCUGAGUCCCUUAUCCGCCAAUGAAAAACUUAUAAUCAUGGAGGUGUGUCUAUUGGUAAUAGCUCCUCCCCAGUUCAAUUGCGCCAAAAAUAAAGUGGGUGUAGACAUAUGUCCGUAGUGGAUUGUUACGGUACCUCCAGGAGUAAAAUGUCCAAACCGCCGUUUAGCGAGUAUUCCCUGUUCGCAAUAAUGUGGUCGGGUAGCGGGGAUACUGAAACCAUGCGAACCGCCAGCCAGGGAACACUCCAAACUCCCGAACGGUACCUGUACGGCUAAUUCCCUUCUCGAGCGGUAAAUCCACGAACGGCAAGUAGUAACCGAACGACAAUAACUCCCAAGCGGCAAAUAAUCCAAAUAAGUAGUCGCUAGCCGGCGGUAACCAAAUCCCCCCAAUAACGAGACCAAGCUCCGCUUUGAGGGUAAAACACGAACUCAUUUACUGUGGGCUACCUGCCCGGUAUUUAUGCAGGUCUCCCACUUGGUGGACACUCCCCUAGGGGACCAAAUGGGAGACUGAAAUCACAGAAGGACAUGGGGACAUUUUGGACAUACAUCCCCACAAUAUUCCCAGCAUGCAUCACAGUUCCCUCCCCUCUGCUCGAGGGAUAAUUGGGAAGUAACUCAAUUAUCUCCCCGAGCAGAGGCAAUCGCCAUUUUAAACACAAGUCACAAAAACACAUGAAAAUCCAUAACUUCAUAACUGCUGAACAUAUUACAUUCGUAUUGCAUAUCCCCAGAUAGCCUGGAUCUGAGGGCACAUUAUUGGAGAAUAGCGCUCAGAUCCCAUUCGCACAGUUCAAUCGCCAUGGAGUCAAAGUCUCUUUCAGUUCUUCGGUAUGCAAUUGACUCCAUGGGACGGCUAUCUGGGUUAAGUCCAUUCGUGUGGUUGAAUCUCCCGAACGGCUGGCAUUCGUAUACUUUUGUCGAUUGAGAAGGGGAGGUCGACGGCUUCAGCGGUGUUCGGCUGAAAAAGUGUCCGUUUUCAGAUCCAUGAAAUAAUCGUCGAACACCGCUGGUCGUUCGCAUGGACAAGAUGGCCGCCGCCUCGUGGUCGACAUACGAACGACGACCACCCGGCAUUCGGUUUUAAUUGAGAAGUGUCUGUGGUUAACCGCAACGUUCUAAUUGGGAUCAAUAGGUUAACCAGCAGCACACUUCUCUUCUGGGUGGCCGUCCGUUCGGUAGUUUCGUUCGACAAAACCGACAUUCCCUUGAAUAAAGCAUACGAAUGGGGAAAUUCAUGUAACCGGCAAAACAGGCGAACAAAGCAUUUGUAAUCCAGACAGAUGGGUCUGUCACACGGCUCCCCCCUUGUGGAACACUCCGGCAGACCCGGCUUGACCCUUUGGCGGGUCAACUUGGGGAUGACCGGACUGGGAAGAAGUAGGGACGUCUGUUUGCCGGGACAACCCAUCCGCGUUCCCAUUCUGCUUACCGGGUCGGUAGCUGAUGGUGAAGUUGUAAGGCUGUAGUGCCAAACUCCACCUCAGCAGUCUGCCAUUGUCUCCUGAGACCCGGUUAAGCCAGACAAGGGGGUUAUGGUCCAUAAUAAGGGAGAAUUCUUGGCCGUAUAAGUAAGGGCUCAAUUUCUUCAGUGCCCAGACCAGGGCUAAACACUCUUUCUCCACUGCCGCAUAACUUACUUCCCGGGGUAGUAACUUUCUGCUUAAGUAUGCGACAGGGUGCUCUCCUCCAUCUUCCCCGACCUGGCUUAGCACAGCCCCCAGUCCAUACAUGGAAGCAUCUGUAUGUACAAGAAAAUGUUUGUUAGGGACUGGGGCAGCCAGGACAGGAGCAUUAACAAGAGCCUGCUUAAGUGCUUGAAACGCGGCUUCACAAGCUGGAGACCACAGGACCUGCUUAGGCAAAUUCUUCUUAGUCAGGUCAGUCAAGGGCUUAGCAACCGUACUGUAGUCAGGGACAAAACGUCGGUAAUACCCUGCCGUCCCCAAGAAGGCCAGCACUUGGGUCUUGGUGAUAGGUGUGGGCCAGUUAGCCACCGCCUCUACCUUAGCUGGCUCCGGUCUCUGGCUCCCACAGCCUACUCUGUGACCCAAGUACUGUACUUCUGCCAUGCCUAGAUGGCACUUGUCUGGCUUCAAGGUCAGGCCUGCGGCCCGAAUCUUGUCCAGCACCACCCCCACGUGUACUAAAUGGUCUUCCCAGGACUCACUGUAGACCGCAAUGUCAUCCAGGUAUGCACAUGCAAAGUCCUGGAAGCCAUCGAGGAGCCUAUCCACCAUACGCUGGAAAGUAGCCGGAGCAUUCUUCAUCCCAAAUGGCAUAACCUUAAACUGGUACAGGCCAAAUGGGGUGACGAAUGCUGACUUAGGGAUAGCAUCCUCGGCCAGAGGGAUCUGCCAAUAACCUUUACACAGGUCAAUGGUGGUCAGGUAGCGCCCUCUGGCAAUGCGGUCUAAUAACUCGUCUUCCCGGGGCAUUGGGUAGGCGUCAGUGGUGGUCCGCUCGUUGAGCCGCCUGUAGUCCACACAGAACCGGGUGGUCCCAUCUUUCUUAGGCACGAGGAUUACAGGCGAGGCCCAAGGGCUGUCUGAGCGCUCGAUAACCCCCAGCCUGGUCAUCUCUUGUAUCUCCUUCCGCAUUCUUUCUCGGACUGCUUCAGGGAUACGGUAUGGGGGUUGUCGUAGGGGGUUCUGUCCAGGUGUCUCGACCUUGUGCACAGCUAGGGUAGUGUACCCGGGUUCUUGGGAGAACGUCGCCUGCUUCUCCCACAGAAGCUGUCUUGCCUGUACCUUCUCUGCCAGGUUUAGCCGGUCCCCUAGCUGUACAAGACUAGUAAGGUCUGUCUGGGGAUCCUUCUCUAACAAGUCAGGUAAAGGUAAAUUCUCUGGGUCGUCAGUAGCUGGGGCACAUACUGCCACAACAUCCUCUGGUCGUUCCUGAUACUCCUUCAGCAUGUUCACAUGGAAGGAUCGCUGAAUCCUUUCAUCUGAACAGGUGGCUAUAAGGUAGGUAGUAUCACAUACCUGAGCUAACACUUUAUACGGGCCCUGCCAAGAUGCUUGCAUCUUGUUCGUCUUCACAGGUUUGAGCACCAGAACCUUCUUCCCAACCUGGAAGAUCCGCAGUCGGGCACCCCGAUCGUACCACCGCUUCUGUCUACCCUGGGCCGCCUGGAGAUUCUCUCUUACCAUCAGGGAUAGUUUCUCCAUGCGGUCCCGGAGUUUCAGGACAUAUGGUACUAUGGGGGUCCCUUCUUGCUCUGUCUCCCCCUCCCAGUGUCCUCUAAUGAGAUCUAGGGGUCCGCGGACCCUUCUCCCAUAGAGUAACUCAAAGGGGGAGAACUCAGUAGAUUCCUGGGGCACCUCUCUGUAUGCAAAUAGCAGAUGAGGCAGGAAUCGCUCCCAGUCUCUGCAAGUGUCAGUAAAAGUCCUCAACAUCUGUUUGAGGGUGCCAUUAAAUCGCUUUCAGAGACCGUUAGUCUGUGGGUGAUAAGGUGAGCUAAGCAGAGGUUUAAUACUGCACACCUUCCACAGCUGCUGGGUAAGCACAGCGGUGAACUGAGUUCCCUGAUCGGAGAGAAUCUCCUGAGGGAACCCGACCCUAGUGAAAAUUUUAACCAGGGCAUCAGCAACCGUCUCUGCCUCUAUAUUAGACAGCGCUACUGCCUCUGGAUAACGUGUGGCAUAGUCCACCACGGUGAGAAUAUACUUCUUACCUGAUGGGCUAGCCCUGGCCAGUGGACCCACAAUGUCAACGGCUAUGCGGAAAAAGGGUUCUCCAAUGAUAGGCAUCGACUGAAGCCUAGCUUUUGGGUGAUCCCCCCGCUUACCUACCCGUUGACAAGUGUCACACGUGCUACAGUAAACCCGCACAUCUCGGUUAAAAUUGGGCCAGAAGAAAUUUUGUGUAAUCCUAUGAGCUGUGCGGCGGGAACCUAGAUGGCCUGCUAAUGGCACAUCAUGCCCAAUCCGCAGAAUCUCCUGCCGGUAUUUUGCAGGCACCACUAGCUGUCGAUUCUGCGGAGGGGUACUCGGCUUCUGGGACGGUUUCGGGAUCCUGUAUAGUCUAUCCCCCACCCACUCAUAGUGCUCCCCAUCUACUCCUUCUCCCCCCGAAUCGGCCCUGGCCCUGUACUUGGCUAGCGUCGGGUCCUCCCUGGUUUCCUUCCCGUACAUCUCUGGGGUAUCCCAGCCUAAAGGGGCCUGGUCUAAGGUACAAGUCGGGGCGAGCGUCUUACCUGGGUCUCAGCAGCAGGUGGGCUGGUCUCGGCGGCACGGGUCUGGGCACGGGUCGUGACAGCAUCCACUUCAGCAGGACCCAUGGGAGCGUAGGCGGAAACAAGGGGCGCCAAGUCAUUGCCAAGGAGAACAUCCGCUGGUAAGUCCUUCAUGACCCCCACAUUCACAUGCCUAGCGCCCACUCCCCAAUCCAAAUGUACCCGGGCAACGGGCAGACGAAACACGGCACCCGCGGCUACUCGCACUGCGACCGUGUCCCCUGUAUGUUGGGCUUCGGAUAUCAGGUGCUUCUGGAGCAAAGUCAUGGUUGCCCCGGUAUCCCGUAGACCACUGACCUCCUUCCCGUUGACUUUGACACACUGUCGGUGGUGCUGCCUGUUAUCCCGGUGGGCAGCCUGAACGGGGUCUGCCUCAUGCAGGAUGCCCCAGCACUCCUCUUCCUCUACACAGUGAGCGGCUGGGAUGGGAGGUCGUGGAUUGCCGCCGGCUGGUCUCCUCCAGGACUGGUUCUGGUUGGCGCUGUUCAUCGGGCACUUCGGGUCGCUUGUGCCCUAGUUGCUUGCACAGGUAGCACCGAAUGGGUUGGGCAUACUCCCGUGAAUUGAACCGAGGUGGCUGUUGGUACGGGGCAGAUGGAGGAGGUGCUGCUGGGCGAUGCAUUGGAGGCUGGUAUAGGUUGGCUGCUGGUGGGGCUGUUGGCCUGUACUCCACUCUGGCGGGAGCCUUGCUGAUGAGACUGUCCAGUUUGCGGGCGUCAGUAUACUCAUCCGCCAGGCGAGCUGCUUCGUGCAGAGUGGAGGGUUUACGGUCCCUUACCCACUCCCUGACCCCUGCUGGCAAUUUAUCAAAUCAAUGCUCCAAAAGAAACAUCUGCAGCACCUCUUCUCCGGACACAGCCUGGCACCCCGCCAUCCAGUGGGCGGCUGUGCGAUGCACCUUACAUGCCCAUUCCACGUAUGAGUCCCCGGAGGUCUUGACAGUGUCUCGGAACCUCCUCCGGUACGCCUCAGGUGUAACGGCGUACCGGGAGAGUAAAGCGUCCCUGACGGCCACAUAAUCCCCAAUCUCCUCAUCAGGAAUGGCCCGAAAAGCCUCGCUGGCCCGGCCUGAUAACUUGCCGGACAAUAUAGUAACCCAGUCUUCCAGGGGUACCUUGUGCAGGGCACAUUGCCGCUCAAAAUCAGCAAGGUACCCAUCAAUCUCUCCUGUUUCACUGAAGGCUUUAAACGCAGUAAAUGGUACCUUUUUCCUAUCUCCCGGGUUUGCUGUGACUGGGGCUGCUGCAGCACCGCUUUGGCGAAGCAGGUUGGCCUCCACAGCUGCCAUGACCCGGUCAAUGGUCUCUGUAGUCAGGUUGGGACCAUAAUGUGCCAGCCUGAUUCUUACCGCCCGGUCAAAGCUUGCCUCCUCGGGGGUUCUGUCAGCUGCACUGGGUCCAUUGGUUCCCUCUGCCGCUGGUACUCCAUCCAUUUCCAGCAAUAACGCAAUAAUAUCCCUCUUCCUGAGGUUACUGGCUUGUCCCCCUCUUUGCUCCAAUAAAUCCUUUAGGGUAGCUCUCCUCAGGUUUUGGUAAGGUAAGUUCUCGGGGUCGUCAGUAGCUGGGGCACAUACUGCCGCAACAUCCUCUGGUCGUUCCUGAUACUCCUUCAGCAUGUUCACAUGGAAGGAUCGCUGAAUCCUUUCAUCUGAACAGCUGGCUAUAAGGUAGGUAGUAUCACACACCUGAGCUAACACUUUAUAGGGGCCCUGCCAAGAUGCUUGCAUCUUGUUUGUCUUCACAGGCUUGAGUACCAGAACCUUCUGCCCAACCUGGAAGACCCGCUGUCGGGCACCCCGAUAGUACCACCGUUUCUGUCUCCCCUGGGCUGCCUGGAGAUUCUCCCUGACCAUCAGGGAUAGUUUCUCCAUGCGGUCCCGGAGUUCCAGGACAUAUGGUACUAUGGGAGUCCCUUCUUGCUCUGUCUCCCCCUCCCAGUGUCCUCUAAUGAGAUCUAGGGGUCCACGGACCCUUCUCCCAUAGAGUAACUCAAAGGGGGAGAACCCAGUAGAUUCCUGGGGCACCUCUCUGUAUGCAAAUAGCAGAUGAGGCAGGAAUUGCUCCCAAUCUCUGCAAGUGUCAGUAAAGGUCCUCAACAUCUGUUUGAGGGUGCCAUUAAAUCGCUCGCAGAGACCGUUAGUCUGUGGGUGAUACGGUGAGCUAUGCAGAGGUUUAAUACCGCACACCUUCCACAGCUGCUUGGGUUCCCUGGUCGGAGAGGAUCUCCUUAGGGAACCCGACCCUAGUAAAAAUUCUAACCAGGGCAUCAGCAACCGUCUCUGCCUCUAUAUUAGACAGCGCUACUGCCUCUGGAUAACGUGUGGCAUAGUCCACCACGGUGAGAAUAUACUUCUUACCUGAUGGGCUAGCCCUGGCCAGUGGACCCACAAUGUCAACGGCUAUGCGGGAAAAGGGUUCUCCAAUGAUAGUCAUCGACUGAAGCCUAGCUUUUGGGUGAUCCCCCCGCUUACCUAACCGUUGACAGGUGUCACACGUGCUACAGUAAACCCGCACAUCUCGGUUAAAAUUGGGCCAGAAGAAGUUUUGUGUGAUCCUAUGAGCUGUGCGGCGGGAACCUAGAUGGCCUGCUAAUGGCACAUCAUGCCCAAUCCGCAGAAUCUCCUGCCGGUAUUUUGCAGGCACCACUAGCUGUCGAUUCUGCGGAGGGGUACUCGGCUUCUGGGGCGGUUUUGGGAUCCUGUAUAGUCUAUCCCCCACCCACUCGUAGUGCUCCCCAUCUACUCCUUCUCCCCCAGAAUCGGCCCUGGCCCUGUACUUGGCUAGCGUCGGGUCUUUCCUGGUUUCCUUCCCGUACAUCUCUGGGGUAUCCCAGCCUAAAGGGGCCUGGUCUAAGGUACAAGUCGGGGGAGAGAGUCUUACCUGGGUCUCAGCAGCAGGUGGGCCGGUCUCAGCGGCACGGGUCUGGGCACGGGUCGUGACAGCGUCAACUUCAGCAGGACCCAUGGGAGCGUAGGCGGAAACAAGGGGCGCCAAGUCAUUGCCAAGGAGAACAUCCGCUGGUAAGUCCUUCAUGACCCCCACAUUCACAUGCCUAGCGCCCACUCCCCAAUCCAAAUGUACCCGGGCAACGGGCAGACGAAACACGGCACCCCCGGCUACUCGCACUGCGACCGUGUCCCCUGUAUGUUGGGCUUCGGAUAUCAGGUGCUUCUGGAGCAAAGUCAUGGUUGCCCCGGUAUCCCGUAGACCACUGACCUCCUUCCCAUUGACUUUUACACACUGUCGGUGGUGCUGCCUGUUAUCCCGGUGGGCAGCCUGAACGGGGUCUGCCUCAUGCAGGAUGCCCCAGCACUCCUCUUCCUCUACACAGUGAGCGGCUGGGGUGGGAGGUCGUGGAUUGCCACCGGCUGGUGUCCUCCAGGACUGGUUCUGNNNNNNNNNNNNNNNNNNNNNNNNNNNNNNNNNNNNNNNNNNNNNNNNNNNNNNNNNNNNNNNNNNNNNNNNNNNNNNNNNNNNNNNNNNNNNNNNNNNNGCCUCUACCUUAGCUGGCUCCGGUCUCUGGCUCCCACAGCCUACUCUGUGACCCAAGUACUGUACUUCUGCCAUGCCUAGAUGGCACUUGUCUAGCUUCAAGGUCAGGCCUGCGGCCCGAAUCUUGUCCAGCACCACCCCCACGUGUACUAAAUGGUCUUCCCAGGACUCACUGUAGACCGCAAUGUCAUCCAGGUAUGCACAUGCAAAAUCCUGGAAGCCAUUGAGGAGCCUAUCCACCAUACGCUGGAACGUAGCCGGAGCAUUCUUCAUCCCAAAUGGCAUAACCUUAAACUGGUACAGGCCAAAUGGGGUGACGAAUGCCGACUUAGGGAUAGCAUCCUCGGCCAGGGGGAUCUGCCAAUAACCCUUACACAGGUCAAUGGUGGUCAAGUAGCGCCCCCUGGCAAUGCGGUCUAAUAACUCGUCUACCCGGGGCAUAGGGUAGGCGUCAGUGAUGGUCCGCUCGUUGAGCCGCCUGUAGUCCACACAGAACCGGGUGGUCCCAUCUUUCUUAGGCACCAGAACUACAGGCGAGGCCCAAGGACUGUCUGAGUGUUCGAUAACCCCCAGCCUGGUCAUCUCCUGUAUCUCCGUCCGCAUUCCUUCUCGGACUGCUUCAGGGGGUUGUCGUAGGGGGUUCUGUCCGGGUGUCUCGACCUUGUGUACAGCUAGGGUAGUGUACCCGGGUUCUUGGGAGAACGUCGCCUGCUUCUCCCACAGUAACUGUCUCGCCUGUACCUUCUCCGCUGGGUUUAGCCGGUCCCCCAGCUGUACAAGACUAGUAAGGUCUGUCUGGGGAUCCCUUUCUAACAGGUCAGGUAAAGGUAAGUUCUCGGAGUCGUCAGUAGCUGGGGCACAUACUGCUGCAACAUCCUCUGGUCGUUCCUGAUACUCCUUCAGCAUAUUCACAUGGAAGGAUCGCUGAAUCCUUUCAUCUGAACAGCUGGCUAUAAGGUAGGCAGUAUCACACACCUGAGCUAACACUUUAUACGGGCCCUGCCAAGAUGCUUGCAUCUUGUUUGUCUUUACAGGCUUGAGUACCAGAACCUUCUGCCCAACCUGGAAGACCCGCUGUCGGGCACCCCGAUCGUACCACCGUUUCUGUCUCCCCUGGGCCGCCUGGAGAUUCUCCCUGACCAUCAGGGAUAGUUUCUCCAUGCGGUCCCGGAGUUCCAGGACAUAUGGUACUAUUGGAGUCCUUUCUUGCUCUGUCUCCCCCUCCCAGUGUCCUCUAAUGAGAUCUAGGGGUCCACGGACCCUUCUCCCAUAGAGUAACUCAAAGGGGGAGAACCCAGUAGAUUCCUGGGGGAAUCUCUGUAUGCAAAUAGCAGAUGAGGCAGGAAUCGCUCCCAAUCUCUGCAAGUGUCAGUAAAGGUCCUCAACAUCUGUUUGAGGGUGCCAUUAAAUCGCUCUCAGAGACCGUUAGUCUGUGGGUGAUACGGUGAGCUAAGCAGAGGUUUAAUACCGCACACCUUCCACAGCUGCUGGGUAAGCACAGCGGUGAACUGGGUUCCCUGAUCGGAGAGAAUCUCCUGAGGGAACCCGACCCUAGUGAAGAUUUUAACCAGGGCAUCAGCAACCGUCUCUGCCUCUAUAUUAGACAGCGCUACUGCCUCUGGAUAACGUGUGGCAUAGUCCACCACGGUGAGAAUAUACUUCUUACCUGAUGGGCUAGCCCUGGCCAGUGGACCCACAAUGUCAACGGCUAUGCGGGAAAAGGGUUCUCCAAUAAUAGGCAUCGACUGAAGCCUAGCUUUUGGGUGAUCCCCCCGCUUACCUACCCGUUGACAAGUGUCACACGUGCUACAGUAAACCCGCACAUCUCGGUUAAAAUUGGGCCAGAAGAAAUUUUGUGUGAUCCUAUGAGCUGUGCGGCGGGAACCUAGAUGGCCUGCUAAUGGCACAUCGUGCCCAAUCCGCAGAAUCUCCUGCCGGUAUUUUGCAGGCACCACUAGCUGUCGAUUCUGCGGAGGGGUACUCGGCUUCUGGGACGGUUUCGGGAUCCUGUAUAGUCUAUCCCCCACCCACUCGUAGUGCUCCCCAUCUACUCCUUCUCCCCUAGAAUCGGCCCUGGCCCUGUACUUGGCUAGCGUCGGGUCUUCCCUGGUUUCCUUCCCGUACAUGUCUGGGGUAUCCCAACCUAAAGGGGCCUGGUCUAAGGUACAAGUCGGGGGAGAGAGUCUCACCUGGGUCUCAGCAGCAGGUGGGCCGGUCUCAGCGGCACGGGUCUGGGCACGGGUCGUGACAGCAUCCACUUCAGCAGGACCCAUGGGAGCGUAGGCGGAAACAAGGGGCGCCAAGUCAUUGCCAAGGAGAACAUCCGCUGGUAAGUCCUUCAUGACCCCCACAUUCACAUGCCUAGCGCCCACUCCCCAAUCCAAAUGUACCCGGGCAACGGGCAGACGAAACACGGCACCCCCGGCUACUCGCACUGCGACCGUGUCCCCUGUAUGUUGGGCUUCGGAUACCAGGUGCUUCUGGAGCAAAGUCAUGGUUGCCCCGGUAUCCCGUAGACCACUGACCUCCUUCCCGUUGACUUUUACACACUGUCGGUGGUGCUGCCUGUUAUCCUGGUGGGCAGCCUGAAAGGGGUCUGCCUCUUGCAGGAUGACCCAGCACUCCUCUUCCUCUACACAGUGAGCGGCUGGGGUGGGAGGUCGUGGAUUGCCGCCGGCUGGUCUCCUCCAGGACUGGUUCUGGUUGGCGCUGUUCAUCGGACAUUUGGGUCGCUUGUGCCCUAGUUGCUUGCACAGGUAGCACCGAAUGGGUUGGGCAUACUCCCGUGAAUUGAACCGAGGUGGCUGUUGGUACGGGGCAGAUGGAGGAGGUGCUGCUGGGCGAUGCAUGGGAGGCUGGUAUAGGUUGGCUGCUGGUGGGGCUGUUGGCCUGUACUCCACUCUGGCGGGAGCCUUGCUGAUGAGACUGUCCAGUUUGCGGGCGUCAGUAUACUCAUCCGCCAGGCGAGCUGCUUCGUGCAGAGUGGAGGGUUUACGGUCCCUUACCCACUCCCUGACCCCUGCUGGCAAUUUAUCAAAACAAUGUUCCAACAGAAACAUCUGCAGCACCUCUUCUCCGGACACAGCCUGGCACCCCGCCAUCCAGUGGGCGGCUGUGCGAUGCACCUUACAUGCCCAUUCCACGUAUGAGUCCCCAGAGGUCUUGACAGUGUCUCGGAACCUCCUCCGGUACGCCUCAGGUGUAACGGCAUACCGGGAGAGUAAAGCUUCCCUGACGGCCACAUAAUCCCCAAUCUCCUCAUCAGGAAUGGCCCGAAAAGCCUCGCUGGCCCGGCCUGAUAACUUGCCGGACAAUAUAGUAACCCAGUCUUCCAGGGGUACCUUGUGCAGGGCACAUUGCUGCUCAAAAUCAGCAAGGUACCCAUCAAUCUCUCCUUCUGUUUCACUGAAGGCUUUAAACGCAGUAAAUGGUACCUUUUUCCUAUCUCCCGGGUUUGCUGUGACUGGGGCUGCUGCAGCACCGCUUUGGCGAAGCAGGUUGGCCUCCACAGCUGCCAUGACCCGGUCAAUGGUCUCUGUAGUCGGGUUGGGACCAUAAUGUGCCAGCCUGAUUCUUACCGCCCAGUCAAAGCUUGCCUCCUCGGGGGUUCUGUCAGCUGCACUGGGUCCAUUGGUUCCCUCUGCCGCUGGUACUCCAUCCAUUUCCAGCAAUAACGCAAUAAUAUCCCUCUUCCUGAGGUUACUGGCUUGUCCCCCUCUUUGCUCCAAUAAAUCCUUUAGGGUAGCUCUCCUCAGGUUUUGGUAUUGUAAUUCCAUUUAGUCCUGGUUGUAGUGGUCUCUUUGGGCGUUGAGGAUCAUCCCACCGCUGCCACCAGUUGUUACGGUACCUCCAGUAAUAAAGGCACAAACCGCCGUUUAGUGAAUGCUCCCCGUUCGCAAUAAUGUAGGCUGGUAGCGUAUAGUAUAACCAUGCGAACCGCCAGCUAGGGAACACUCCAAACUCCCGAACGGUACCUGUACGGCUAUUUCCCUUCGCGAGCUCCAAAUCCACGAACUGCCAAUAUUAGCCGAACGCUAAUAUCUCCCAAGCGGCAAAGAAUUCCAAUAAGCAGUCUCUAAGCGCCGGUAAUAAAAUCCCCCCAAUAACGAGACCAAGCUCCGCUUUGAGGGUAAAACACGAACUGAUUUACUGUGGGCUACCUGCCCGGUAUUUAUGCAGGUCUCCCACUUGGUGGACACUCCCCUAGGGGACCAAAUGGGAGACUGAAAGUACAGAGGGACAUGGGGACAUUUUGGACAUACAUCCCCACAAUAUGCCCAGCAUGCAGUACAGUUCCCUCCCCUCUGCUCGGGGGAUAAUUGGGAAGUAACUCAAUUAUCUCCCCGGGCAGAGGCAAUCGCCAUUUUAAACACAAGUCACAAAACACAUGAAAAUCCAUAACUCCAUAACUGCCGAACAUACUACAUUCGUAUCACGUAUCCCCAGAUAGCCUGGAUCUGAGUGCACAUUAUUGGAGAAUAGCGCUCAGAUCCCAUUCGCAUAGUUCAAUCGCCAUGGAGUCAAAGUCUCUUUCAGUUCUUCUGUAUGCGAUUGACUCCAUGGGACGGCUAUCUGGGUUAAGUCCAUUCGUGUGGUUGAAUCUCCCGAACAGCUGGCAUUCGUAUACUUUUGUCGAUUGAGAAGGGGAGGUCGACGGCUUCAGCGGUGUUCGGCUGAAAAAGUGUCCGUUUUCAGAUCCAUGAAAUAAUCGUCGAACACCGCUGGUCUUUCGCAUGGACAAAAUGGCCGCCGCCUCGUGGUCGACAUACGAACGACGACCACCCGGCAUUCGGUUUUAAUUGAGAAGUGUCUGUGGUUAACCGCAACGUUCUAAUUGGGAUCAAUAGGUUAACCAGCAGCACACUUCUCUUCUGGGUGGCCGUCCGUUCGGUAGUUUCGUUCGACAAAACCGACAUUCCCUUAAAUAAAGCAUACGAAUGGGGAAAUUCAUGUAACCGGCAAAACAGGCGAACAAAGCAGUUAUAAUCCAGACAGAUGGGUCUGUCACACUUCUUCAGGCAGAGAAUUUCACGGGGUGCUUGUUUAGUUCCUUAUCUGCUUAUCUCGUGAACACACCAAUUGUCUCCGGAAUUUAGAUGAGUUGUAUAAGGAUAAGAAAAGAUGAGAGAAGAAAUAUAUAAUCAGAUACUAAACGCAUCCAUCCUUAGCCAUCCAAGUACAAAUGAGCUAUUUUAUAACUAAUGCUAUUUUGUACAUAAUUCAGAUAAAAAAAACUUUGCUAAUAAAAACAAAAACCAUGUGCAGACUGUGACAUUAUUUUACCAUUUACUGUUCGAAUACCGAAAGAACUACCGAAUGACCGACCACCCAAAUGGGGAGUGUGCCGCUGAUUAACCUCAUUGACCCUCUUAACACCUCUAAAACCACAAACACCAUUGCAUUCUAAGCGGUCAACUGGGUGGUCGGCGUUCGUAUGCAAGAAACACGUGGCGGCGGCCAUCUUGAUAUACGAAUGUGGCCAGCUGUGUUUUGUCGUUGAGUGCAGGGAACUAUAAUCGGACACUCGACGGCACGAACACUACUAAAACUUCCAUAAUCACAGAUGUUCGGUACUAUAUGUACGAAAUGGACUACAUUCGGUAAUAAUACCUCCUGAACCCAUAAGACUAGGAGAACAAAUGUACGAACAGUUAUUGCCUGACAAGGGCUUUUCUCCGCUGGAUCCGUGGUAAAUGGAACUCUGGAACAAGGCACUGUAGUGUGAAUAGCUCUAUUCCUCCACAGUAACUGGACGACACACCGUUUUGGGAGUACAACUGAUUUUUAUUGUGCCAAACUCAGCUUUUUAUGCACAGACCCCCAGCAUGGGGUCUCCAUACAAGUCGGUACUAUCUUUCUCCCGAGCAGCACUCUCCUGACUCGUCUGUGAGUGGAGCAGGCAGUGGUACAGUUUUCCCGGGGUUCGCAGGAUUGCGUAUCCGAAAUAAGUUCCAGACGCUCAACAACCAUGUACCGCUGCCUGCGUUAAUGAAAGCCCACAUAUAUUUGCAAGCAUUCAAAACAAACUCUUCUAUUUUGGACAGCUAUAAAUUUAGAUUAUUAGCUGCAUUUGGUAUUUUGGCAGAGUUAUAUCCUAACAUGUAAUGACCAAAUGACAAUCACUCAGAAUCCGGCAAAAGAUAAUGUUUAAUAAAAGAAAAUAUAGCAAACAUUAAUAAACAUGUUCUAGCUAAUCACUUAUCCUUUGCAUUAGUAAUCAUAUAUUUCCCACGAUUGCAGUUAACACAUAUCAAAGGCUAUUCAAGCAAUUUAAUCUAAACAUAAGUAUAAAAGCUACAACAAAAUUAUACAGUUUUAUACUUAACGUCCCAGGAUCUUAGCUGAAAUGGAGAUAAAAGUUUCUGCUGCUCUGGAUAGAUCAAACUCCAUGUUCUGGAUGCAAAACGUGGUCACAGAGCACAUACUUGCAGCCUUAGAAAAAAAUAGUAAGGCUGUCUAAACCUCUGUACUGUGAGGAUAUUUAUGGGAUGAUAAAUAUAAAAAAUUAUAUUUUCAUAACAAUUAUCAAAAUUAAUGAAAAUUUUUUAUUAGAUCAAAAAUUGAUAUAUUGGCACUGUUCCCCUUGAUUAAUUUAAAGCUAAGAGCUACCCACCAUUUUUUUUUUAACUCUUUAUAAAACUAAUUCUAAAAAUAUAAUUUAUUGUGACAAAAUUAAUAUUAAUAAUAAUAUGUAACAUGCAUGACAAUAAUCAGUGGAUAUUUAGGUAUAACAUAAGUAUACAAUAUGGCAGUUUAACAGUUUCCGAUAGUUCAAUAGCAACCUUUAUAUCCACAUAGAUGCAAUUUCAACGAGAUUUACGACAGGACACUUUCUUGAAAUCAGCUAUGCAAUUCUUAACACAGAACACAGCAUUCCCCAGCACAGCUUACGUCAAUAAAAACUUUUAGCUGCCUGUUAACUCACUCACUGCUGGCUACAAUUCUCACAGGAAAAAUACCUUUAUAUUGCAGUGACAAAUACAAUAAUUCUCAUACCAGAUCAGUUAUCCCUAAAAGUUAGAUGUGUCCAGCUUUGGCUCCAGAUGUCAGAUCUCAGCUCCCCUCUGUUCAGCUAUCUUCUAUUUUUACGUCACUAGUUUAAAGUGGCCAAUAGAGUAAGGUGGGCGUGUCUUCCUUACAGGUACUAAUCUAGACUUUGGUCAAUAGAUGGCGUAAUAACACCACAAGAAAUUCUCAGCAGGAAUUCCAACUACCACUUUGUAUAAGGGAUUAACUGCAUUUCGUGAUGCGUUUGACGUCAUAAUCUAUUAUCUUUAUGAUACCCGUCCAUCAAAACCUGUCAAUCUUCAGGAAGAUUUGGUUCUUGUUCUUCAGACUUACUGUCUACUUUUCUGGUCAUAAAAUUAGAAUUUGACACAUCUGCCCUUUCUUAUACCUUCUCUUUACAAUGGGUUCUGUAUCCAUUCCUUAACUGUAAAAAGUAAAUUAAUUAUGUGAAGGAGCUCCCUGUACCCUGGCUGGGUACCUCCGCCGACGGAUGCUCCUAGUGCUUCUCAAGGACCAUCACCACUGCACCAGACACCAUAACCACCGCAGACUCCACGAACCGCUGCAGCUGGGUUGGGGUCUCGCCGUCUCCUUCCUACCCUGGUCCAACGUCUGGAAGGACCUCUCCUUCAGGAGAGUAUAGCUGUAUAGCUGAAGAGAGCUCUUACAAGAGCUAGCAGUGAUAUAGCAGUUAUAGCUGUUUCAUACAACACGAGACGAGGCUGCGAGUUGAAGGUAAAGAAGGACUGGUUUAUUGAGCAGCUUGCAUUUCUUUUAUACAGAUUUUCAGGCCAGAGGCACACCCCCUGGACCUGAUGGAACACAGGGACACAAGGAACAUAAACCAAUGGGAACAGUAAGUAUUACUGUAACACUCCCACAUACAGUCAGCAAUCCCUCCCCUCUGCCUGUGAUAUAAUUAAGAUAACUAAUGGAAUAACUUAAUUAUCCACAGGCAGAAAGUACCCAUUUUUACCCAAAGUGUAGAAACACCCCAAAACUCCAACAUAUCCCCAUAAAUCCUACAUCCCUUGAUAUCCCUGAUCUGGGUGAACAACAUAUCCAAAAAUCACCCAGAUCAGAGCAGGGGUUCAAAAGUUUUAUGGAAGUCUCUUUUGACCGACCACACGCAUGAUUUCAUGCCCAAAACCAUUCCAGAGAAUUUGGCUGUGCAAUAGUUCAAAUACUGUACAAAUAGUCGAACGGCAACCGUUCGUGCACCUCGUUAAAGUUAAAAGGGUCGUUCGAAUCCCGUCGAAGAGUCGAAGUUCCAGAGAAGGUAAAGUUCAGCGGUGUUCGUGCCGUCGCGUGCCUGUUUUGAGUUCCAUGAACUCAACGACCAAACACAGCUGAACGAGUGUUCUAAACAAGAUGGCCACCGCCACGUGUUCAACUAUACAAACGGCGACCAUCCAGCCAUUCGUCAAUUAGCUGUGGUUAACCACGGUUAACUAUGUCACUGCCUGGAAGGCUUUUAGGUAUUGGAAUAACUAGCACCUAUAUACCCUGAGGACUGGUAAACAUAGCGGGAGACCCUACUCAAACACAUAAGUCCUUAUGCGAAACGUAUACAACGCCUGUGUUCGGCCUGCCCUGUCUGUGCCCCUAUGAUUGGCCAGCUCUGUCUGUGCAGGCCAUUCAAAGGGGCACAGACAGAGCAGGCCAAUCAUAUGCCUGCUCUGUCUUUGCCAAUUCGAUUGGCCGGCUCUGUCUGUGCCCUAUUGAGAGGCCGACGUUAGUCUGUGCCCGAACCCCCUUUUGGCCGCAGGCCUGGGGGAAUAUUACUGAGGAAAUCUCAGUACCCACUAUGGACACGGAGAUUGGUGGGUGUCCAGGUAAGCACUGCUACCAUACUAUCUGAAGGACACCGGUCUCUGUGCUCCUAAAUAUGAUUGGAAGGGUGAAGGCCCUAUACCUCGUGCCUGGGAGACAAGGCUUCUGCGAGAAACCCCGAGCUGGAAGCCACGGCUUGCACUAGCCCGGCGGUGGCACAUCCCCAAGGGAAGUUUUGCUAUCAUGUCCAUACGGGGUCAGUACUCAACACCAACAGGGAAGCACGAUAAUUCCUGGACUCUGGGCAACUAUCCUUUAGCUGCAUAUCCGAUAUCCAUCUUCAGGUCUAGGUAGUUACUCCUCGUCAUACUUAGUUCUUAACUGUUUCAGUUGGGUUUUCCGGUCCUUCUUUCUACUGUCCGUUAUUUUACUUUACCUCCGAGGUACAUAUUUUUUCCUUUGCUGAACCUUACUUUAGCUAACCGCCCUUGUUUUGUGUAUUCCGAUUUUGUCCCAUCGCUCGGGUCGUUGAGAGGCCUGACUUGGCCUCCUCCGGCUUCCCGGGCUCUGGUGGAUCGCAGAGAACGUCUCCAGCAUUUCCUCAGGCUACUGGCGACCAUCCUGGACCCCACACUCUUAGGCGGGAUCCAGAUGGUCGUUUGUAGAUUCCUCAACUUUUUCUAGCUAUUGCAGUUUCUCGGCCUGUCCCCAUUAUUCGAACCUUGGACACGGCCCUGGACUGGAUUGUUACUCCGACUUUUAUCAGCAGUAUUUUUUCCCAGUUUGGGUACACCUCUCAGGUGUCUGGUACAGACAGGGACUUCAGAGUCAGAGGGGAAUCCCGCUCAGGACCUCAGCCCGACUCGACUAGUUUUAAAGGGCGAGCUCCUUGUCUACAAUCAGUCUGUGACUGAUAUGGACUAUGGUUUGCUUGGUAAGAGGGUGUGGCCCCUUCAUAUCCUCAGCUUGAAAAAAAGGCUAAUUUUAUGUUAUUAGAGGGAUCCCCCUCUCAUAUACAGAACCUGAUGCUAAUUUUCCGGUAGAGGGUGCGACCCUCCCCUAACCUCAGCCCGAAGCUAACAUUGAUGCAAAUUGCAGGUUUGGAGUGUGAUCCACUCUCAUAUACGGAGAUAGAUAUUGACAUAAACACUGAGUUAUUACUAGAGGGUACAGCCCUCUCACACUGUCAGACUGCGGCUCUCUCAUACAUUCAACCCGCUACUGAGCUUCCCUCAUGUGCACAGGCCAUGAUCACUAAUUAUACUGGUUCCUCAGUUUACCGCUGGCAAGACAGCUUCCUACAGUACAGGAUUCUGCUUCCCCUCUUGAGGGCGAGCCCGUCGCUGGUCACUGUCCAACAGGGUGAUUUAUCCUAAUUUCGACCCUUGUUCAUCUUACGGGCUUAUGCCAGUACAGGACACCAGUGUCUUCAUAGAGGUGCAUCCCGCCUAUGGUCAACUCAAUUCGGAGGUCUGUGCUACAUGCCGCGGUCUGCCGCUGAUGCUACAGCUCUUGCUAUAGGACUAUGGCUACCUCACCGUAAUAGCAAGGAAACACCACUUAAUAGCAACUGGGUAAGAGGAGUGAACCGCCUCCAUUGGAUCUAACGACUGUACUACUAUUUUCGUUAUAGAGGUACUACCUGUUUGGACAUGGUUUCGCAUGCUUAAACUAAUUUGUAACGGACCGUUUCACUCAAAAGGGGAUAAAUCCGUUUAGGCGAUAAUCCCCUUUCCCAUAGACCAGCAGCUACUGCAAUCACCAACCUCCUGAACUCCAAACUGCACGUAUUCACCAACUCUCGAACAGCAGACACAGGAACCCUGGAAGCAGCCGAACAGGAAAAGCAAUACAAACGGCUUACACUCCUGGCAGUCAGCACACAAUCCAAUUCCCCCAAUAACGAGACGACACUUCGUUUUGAGGGUUAAGCAGAAUCUCCAGUGCUGGCACACCCAGCCUGGUUUUUAUUACAAUCCACAAAACAUAGUACAGCCCACAGGGCGUUACAAAACAACCAAUCACAUCACAGUUACAUCCCACAUAUUCCCUCCCCUUAUCCUGAGAGGAAACUCAAUUACACAUACAGUUAAAACAUACUUUCUACCCAACUUUCAUAACUCCAAAACCAUACAUCACAUUCACAUAAAAUUACAUAUUCACAAUCAAUCCAUUCAGGGGAACAACAUAUUCAAAAAUGGCACACAUCAGACAAGGGGUUCAAAAGUUAGUAAAAAGUCCUUUGUGACUAAAUGAAGCAUGGCUUUCUGGCCCAAACCAGUUUCAGAGUCUUCUAUCCUGGAGAUAAGUAAUUCAAUUAUCUCCCAGGAUAGACACAGACUCCAUUAAGCACAUGGUUGCAAAAAGACACAAAACACUUUAAAAUACAUAAAGUCACCUUUACACAUAAAACACAGACAUUUCACAUAUCCCCAGAUAGCUCAGGUCUGAGCGCACAUUAUUAAGUGAAUGGCGCUCAGACCACACAAAUACAGUUUAAUCGCCAUGGAGCCAAAGUCUUUACAGUCAGUUUCAUACAAAUGGGCUCCAUGGGAUUCCUAUCUGGGGUAUAACACAUUCAAACAAAUCUACUGAACCCCAGGCAGAAAAGCACGAAUACAGCUUUUCUGCAGGCAAAAAAAAGUCUUUUAAAAGGGGGCCAUAGUCCAAAGGCAGCAGGCGAGCAACCAGGCUUCUCCAAUGCAAUGUGGCGAGAUUGGUCUCGUCACAUCUCUCCCCUUUUCCAAACAGACUAACAGGGUAUCUGACCUCCUGCCGGUCAGUGCCCUUGUUAGUCCAGCAGCCCACCCACAACAAAUAAUCAACAGCACAGCCCACCCACAAUAAAUGGUUACUACACCUGGGUAAAGGAGAAGCUUGUCCAUGUCCAGGUGCCUCACCACGGCUGUGCUGGGUACGGGUACGCUGACUUGGUGGGUUGCUGCGUGGGCAGAGACCAGCGGCACUCUGCCCUGUUGCCAGCGCUACUGGGAGGGUAGCCUGGUUGAAGCCUGGUUGUUGGAGGGGGAGACCGACUGUCUCCCCUUUAAUACACCGCUCUGCUGCUGGAGACCGACUGUCUCCCCUUUUGUUGCACAGCUCUGCUGCCGGAGGGGGAGACCGACUGUCUCCCCUUUGGAUACUCUAAGAUGUCGCUGGGGAGAGGGGGUAACAGGCUCCUCUCCCGAUAGAACACUCUGCCGCUGGGGAAAGGAGACUGAGCUCUCUAUUCCCUGCCCAUUAAUGAUCCGCCGCUGGGGAGAGGUGGUAGCAAGCUCCUCUCCCAUACAUACUUUCAUCCUCUGUGGAGGGAGACCGACUGUCUCCGCUCCCAAUACAGUGUCCUGCUGCUGGGGAAAGGAGACUGGGCUCUCUAUUCCCGGUAGGACACUCUGCCGCUGGGGAAUGGAGACUGGGCUCCCAAUUCCCUGCUGUAUCUCCCGCUGGGGAAUGGAGACUGGGCUCCCAAUUCCCCAAAAAUCAUGCUGCUGCUGGGGGGCAGGAACAACUACCUCUGCCCCCUGUAGCUCAGCCUGCCGCUGGGGAGGGAGGACGCUGCUCUCCUCUCCCUGCACUUUACACUGCCUUCCCGGCAUAUCACUCUGCUGCUGGGGGGCAGGAACAACUACCUCUGCCCCCUGUAACUCAGCCUGCCGCUGGGGAGGGAGGACGCUGAGCUCCUCUCCCUGCACUUCACACUGCCUUCCUGGCAUAUCACUCUGCUGCUGGGGGGCAGGAACAACUACCUCUGCCCCCUGUAACUCAGCCUGCCGCUGGGGAAUGGAGCUUGGGCUCCCAAUUCCCUGCAAUAUCUCCCGCUGGGGAAUGGAGCUCGGGCUCCCAAUUCCCUGCAAUACCGGUGGAGAGACCUCGGUCCCCUCUCCACCUGCCGCCUGGGGUUCCUCCCAGUAAAUUUCAACAAUAUCUUCCCAGCUGAAUGGGUCUGAGACUGGAUCUGUCACUCUGCUGUCCUGCGGAGCCUUCCCAAUGGAGUGGAAGAGAUCUCGGUAGUCCUGCUCCAGUUCCCACUCCAGGGUUGCUAGGUGAGCCAGGUCUUGCUCUACCUCAUGGGGGUCAUCCCAGUCAUGCCUAGCCUCCCUCUCGUAGAAAAUUUCCUGAAGUCUGCUCUGCGCAGGGCUCCCGAAGUCAGGCUCUGCAAAGGACUCCCAUAACAAGCCAGGACCAUCAAACUCCUCUCCCUCUGGCUUGUCAUGCUCAGCUGUCCAGGGUAUAUACUGUGCCAUAUACCACCAGAGCGCCUGGUAGGCAUCCUCCAGCCAUAGCUCCUGCCAUACCCGAUGCUCUAGUUCCUUCACCCAUUCCUCCAGGGGCUGCUCUCCCAGGAAGGGCAUCCGCAGGGCCACUUGCUUCUGCAACCGCUGCUCUUCACUGGGGAGACUCUCACCCCGCUGGUAUUGUACAUUAUCCAGGGCCUGGUACCAGAUGCCUUCCCUUAAUGCAUCCCGGCCAUCCAGGUCCUCCUCCUUGUAUAACACUGCUGGUUCCAUUCUGUUGCUUUUAGGGUCGCUGUACUGGGACAUGCGUUGCUCCCACUUGUAAAUCCAAAGAAACGGUGUCUCCUGUAGCUGUCCUUCUGGCUGUAGGAACGAUCCCGCCGCUUGCCACCAAUUGUAACGGACCGUUUCACUCAAAAGGGGAUAAAUCCGUUUAGGCGAUAAUCCCCUUUCCCAUAGACCAGCAGCUACUGCAAUCACCAACCUCCUGAACUCCAAACUGCACGUAUUCACCAACUCUCGAACAGCAGACACAGGAACCCUGGAAGCAGCCGAACAGGAAAAGCAAUACAAACGGCUUACACUCCUGGCAGUCAGCACACAAUCCAAUUCCCCCAAUAACGAGACGACACUUCGUUUUGAGGGUUAAGCAGAAUCUGCAGUGCUGGCACACCCAGCCUGGUUUUUAUUACAAUCCACAAAACAUAGUACAGCCCACAGGGCGUUACAAAACAACCAAUCACAUCACAGUUACAUCCCACAUAUUCCCUCCCCUUAUCCUGAGAGGAAACUCAAUUAUACAUACAGUUAAAACAUACUUUCUACCCAACUUUCAUAACUCCAAAACCAUACAUCACAUUCACAUAAAAUUACAUAUUCACAAUCAAUCCAUUCAGGGGAACAACAUAUUCAAAAAUGGCACACAUCAGACAAGGGGUUCAAAAGUUAGUAAAAAGUCCUUUGUGACUAAAUGAAGCAUGGCUUUCUGGCCCAAACCAGUUUCAGAGUCUUCUAUCCUGGAGAUAAGUAAUUCAAUUAUCUCCCAGGAUAGACACAAGACUCCAUUAAGCACAUGGUUGCAAAAAGACACAAAACACUUUAAAAUACAUAAAGUCACAUUUACACAUAAAACACAGACAUUUCACAUAUCCCCAGAUAGCUCAGGUCUGAGCGCACAUUAUUAAGUGAAUGGCGCUCAGACCACACGAAUACAGUUUAAUCGCCAUGGAGCCAAAGUCUUUACAGUCAGUUUCAUACAAAUGGGCUCCAUGGGAUUCCUAUCUGGGGUAUAACACAUUCAAACAAAUCUACUGAACCCCAGGCAGAAAAGCACGAAUACAGCUUUUCUGCAGGCAAAAAUAAAGUCUUUUAAAAGGGGGCCAUAGUCCAAAGGCAGCAGGCGAGCAACCAGGCUUCUCCAAUGCAAUGUGGCGAGAUUGGUCUCGUCACAUAAUUCUCACUGCUACAUCCUUUGUAAGUGGUCUGCUGGACCCAUGCCACCAUAUACCCACUCGGGAUGUGCUCAAUGAGGUAGUACGGGGGGAAACUCCCCACCUUUGGUACACGUUCCCUGAGGCCUUAUGGGACAGUGUAUGGGCUGUUUGAACUGGCUCUCUUGGAUACAGUUCCUAGAAUUGGCCUACUUGGUUGUUGCUAAUGGAUGAACCUCAGUUAUUUCAAGAGUGUAGUUUUGGUAUAAUCUGCAUCAUAUCAAACAAGCAUUCACACUCGGUUUAGGUUAUACAGACCAUUAUGGACAAACUGCUCAGACAGUUUUUUUCACCCAUCGAGGUGACAUGAGAUUUGGAGGCCUCCAUAGAGCAAACAUGCACGGCCUUACUCGGUAACAAGACUGGGGAAGUCCCACAACCAGGUCUGCAGAUACACCGUUUGCAUGGGUCGCAUGGAGAGCCCAGAGUCCCGGUAGAUUUUGGGUUCACUGGUCGCUAACAGUCUUGGGAUAGGUGACAGGACUACCUCUACUCCUCUGAGAACAUGUCUGGAGAACAUGAUUCGGAUAUGGAGGAUACACUAAUACACUAAUCCCCUCGUGGGAACUGUCCUGGUUUUAGUUUUUGCUAACCCACCUAUUCAAGUACCGACAAGGAGGACUGAUUGAACUCGGUGGGGGAACCCUGUGUGUUGUCGACCCCUACACAGACGUUACAAAGUCGGGACGCAACCUACCACUGGAGUACUGCUCAGGUCCUGUGUCGGUUUCGGAUCUGUUGGCCGACGUUCUCUACCUGGACAGCCCCUACUUUGGAUGGUUGAAGCUAGGUCCACCAUUUUUCACUAUAUCUGUCCUCUGGAGUCCGCUGUCGUUAGUGAGGGGACUUUACAUCUUAUCUACGUAUUAGAGAAUGCUAGGUAUUCAAGGGUCUCUAGACAAAAGGGGAAGUAUUCCCCAUGGGAUACCUAGACUUCGGACCUCGAAUUCAAGGCCUGGGUACCAAGUCAGGGAUACAAUCAGUCAGGGAUACAGGGACCUAGAUGCCUUAUAUUGAAGGUGACGUGCAUACCAGAAGUCCCUCCACCGAAUUUUGACAGGACUGGACUGGAGCGGAAAAGUACGAGCUAUUAUUCGGAUUAUUCCACUUUCUCCCUAAUCAGUCGACAGUCUUACGGACGGUAAUCUGAUCCAGACGCGCUCACCGGGACCGAUUCGGUUUUCUCCAGUCUGCCUACUCUUUGAACCACUCCGAUUCCUUUGCGGUCCACCAUGCGACGACCGGACGAGGAUACAUUUUGGAAUUUCUAGGUUUCACAAUCUCCCGAGUAGUCGAUUAUGGGUUUGCUACACAAACUCAGUUCUGGGAACCCUGAUUGGACGUCCUUUGGGAGUACCUGGCCUACCACAGUCGCGGGUCCCGCAGUCCAACUGGGAGUACGGGAAACGCUUAGUAUUCGACUAGUUGGCCCACAAUCUGACCAGCAUAAUAGGUUCAUUCUUGGAUGAGACCACUCGCCUGGUAGGAUAUGAGGGAGCAAAAGACCCUAUUUCUUUCUGUUAUGAAAUUGGUGGUGGACGCAUUAUUUGAGGUUGAAGGUUGACAACAAGGUUACACCACCUGUGACCCUGGCACGAUCGGAGGAGCCGUCUUCCACAUCAAGGGUCGAGACAGGGUAACAGUUUUUCUCCCGCGGUUCCAAGUUCGUAUAUGAUUUUCGGAAGAUGCACCUGCAGGAAAAUGGUUACACGAUUGACUUGGCAGUUCAUGGACCGUACUCCAGGUAACGGGUCACAACACCACAUUCAGUGGAUUUCACAGCGGAUUGUGUGUUUUUCGUAAUUGGUGGUACAUCGACAGUUGGCACCUUCAUAGAUCCAUCUGCUGUCACUUCCUGCUAUUGGAAGGUCCAUUUGGGAUCACUUUAGUCUUCUCCCGGAAUUGGUACCAGCGAAACAAUCAUCGUUGGAUUUGUUGGCUGAGCAUUAAAACAGCAAAUAUGAAGGCUCCUGUCAUGUUAUAAAAUUGUAGAUUAUGCUAGCUUUAGUGUACCUAUAAUCUUAAUUUUGUUAAUGACAGGAGGCGAGUAUUUCCCGCCCAUUCUUUCCCUCCCUUAUUUAACAUUUGGUAGUUUGGGUUCAUCAGGUAAGUAUGCAACUCUUGUUGUCUCUGCUUCCUGUCAAUUAUUUUUAUAUCUGUUUUUUCCUAGUAAGGGUUUGGAUCUAUACAUAUUAUGGUAUUUCUGGUAUUUCACUCGGUGCCUACAUGUUUGUUCAGAGUACAUUUCAUUGGCUAACCAACCUGUUCAAUUCUGUUUUCUCUCAUUUCAGUUUACAGUCCAUCAACGCUAUCUGGUUUGACAGUUCUUCUCGGAUGGUGGACGUAUUCAUUUUAUCUAGGACUUUGUUUUUCUCUAUUUUUCUGCCUUUUGUUCUGUUUUUGUCGCAGCUUGAAAGAGGAAAUAAUGUAUGUGGAGGGGAGUUUUAUAGUACCUAACUGUUUUCUGAUUGGUUGUUUUCUCUGAGCUGCUGUGGAGUUCUAGUAAAGAGAGACUUAGGCACUAACAGAGGUCAAGAAACCAAUAAGGAAACAGGGUAGGGUGAAAACUGGGGGGGAAAUAUUCACCUCCUGUCAUUAAUAAAAUUAAGAUUAUAGUUACACUAAAGCUAGUAUAAUCUACAAUUUUAUAACAUGACAGGAGGUUUCAUAUUUGGUGUUUUAAUGCUCAGACAGUAACGACCAAAGAAACAUGAGCUGCCGUACCAACCUAAACGUUGCGAAGAUAGCUCCUCGUAAACGGCAGUACAGUGUGCGAUGUCUUGGAGAAAUGCGCCUGCCAUGUCGGCACCUGAAGUCACCGUGUAACUGACUGAAGUGAACCGAAAGACAUAUACGCCCCGCCAAUGCCCAGAACAACCUAGCGGUACAUGAAGGGCAAAAGAACCGUCUAAACAGAUGGUGACAUUGAACGCAGCAUAAAGGUGGGGCGCGCAACCAAGAUAAGAAUAUAAUCCUCGGGUCCGUCUACAGCCGAUAGACAACUAAGGCCUGAACAUCCGAACCCAUCUGAAAGGUAUAAUGAAGGAAAGAAAUCCAGAGUCAGUGAAUGGCCAAGAACCCGACAAAAAACGGCAAUUAGAACACAACCAAAACAUGUGUACCCCUUGGGGAGAUGAAUUCCCGUCUUCGGGAAUCGUAAAGGACUCACACCUCUAUGAACCCGUACGUCUUGCCUGAAGGGAAAUUCUAAGCAGAGCGAGGCCCGCCGAAAACAGUCAUACGCGCUACCUAAUCUAAAGAUACGACAGUCCCCGGUAAUAAAGUGACUGAACAAUUCUCGAGCCCUGUAACAACGUUUGCAACAAAACUUUUUGGUAAUCCGUACCAGACCCAACUACGUCAGGGUCGCCAUGCAGACAAAACGUUGUACAGUCCCGGAAACUAGGUUCGACUCUGCCGAAACGGAGACCAUAAUACCAAGUACUAGCAGACCGGGGCACCUGCAGUAAGGACCUGGGACCACCCAAGCUGAGGGGACUCAUCAUCGUCUCUGUGUCGAACACCCCAGGAGGGAAGCGUCCAUCACUGAGCAAACAAGUCUGUCAGCCAGCUGAAACUGGUUGGGGCCUGAUAGGUCCUCCUCCGGGGCCCGAUAGGUCCUCCUCCGGGGUCUGAUAGGUCCUCCCCGCACAACUAUUCCAAAACGUAUGAGAACUUGAGCAGAGGAAGGCGUAGGAGGCACCCCCUUGCUUCCAAUCCGCCCUCCGGUACUCUACUCCUUGAGUUGUAGAGGUGUCGAUAUUUCCUUGGUUGAACACGAAAUCCAGGGACUCGAACAAGGGAAACGCAGAGAGCGCCUGACCUUUCGGUCUGGAAGGUACCUCGCAGAGGGUCCAGUAAGUCAGCCCAGGUAGACCGUACCGCAAAAACAUCCUAUAUCGGGGACGUGCCACGUCCCGGUCCCAAUGCGUGGAAAAACGAGAAGGACCUCUUCAGAUAGUUCUGGUAUUCCUGAAUGCCCUAAAUUCAUCCAAACCUGCCAACCAGGCCGUAUUAUCGCCCAAAUAAGUGAUGCACCAGAUAUUAUCUCCACAGGGAGAGAAAUUGCGCCCACCUUUCCAGAAAUGGACCCCACGGUCCCUAGAAUUCUUGGAGGAUCGCGUCUAAUUCAAUGCAACUAAUGGGUAUACAUUCAAGUGUAGUCUCAUGCAGGGACUCCAAGGGCUCAGAUCCCUUUACCCCAAGCACCACCAGCAGUCCAAAUUGUGUUUUAAGAUAGGGGUCCCGUCUGGAAUGUCAUCCGAAAGUGGAGGCAAAUGUGAAAUUCCAGGGCCAAAAGUCCGAUCCAUUACAAAUGGUGCGGGUUGGAAUUUGAGAUAUGCCUCCCUUAAGUUUUUCCAUCUAAACAACUGGACCCCUAUUGUGACGGAACGCUGGCACUCCGACUGAGUACCUCCGCCAAUCGAUGCUCCUAGUGCUCGCUGAGGACUCCAAGCACUCCAACCGACACUAUCAGCACUGCAGACCCCACUUCCAGCGAUGCAACUGCGCCGGGGUCUCUGCUGUCUCCACCCACCCUGGACCCAAGGCCAGGAUCCAGCUUCCAGUGGGUGAACCUCUCUUUCCCCAGAGAGCAGGAACAGGAACAAGCUCUUAGCAGAACUUAGUGAUCAUACCCUGGGGAGUAUAGUGAUUAUAGCAAUCCCCAGAGUGUAUUUCUCCAAUCCCCCAAACAUGAGCCAAGGCUUAAUGCUGGAACAAGACUGAUUUACUGGCACACAGAACUCACAAUUUAUGCAACACAAAACUCCUCCUCUGGGCCAGGCUAGAUAAUUGAGUUUCUACAAUACACAAAGCUCAAUUAUCUGCUGGCCAGAAAUAAUACAGUUUCAUAAAACACACAGGGACCCCAAAACAUGCAAUAACCCCAUAAAAAGUAUAUCCUUGGAACCGGGGGAUCUGGUUGAACCACAUAUCCAAAAUUCACCCAGAUCCGUUCAGUACUUUGGAAAAUACAGUUUAAUGCAGAUUCUGCAGAACAUAUACAGGCUAAAUGAAAAACAAUCACUGUAUAAUGUGUCCCCUGCUGUAUAGUCCAAAACCACUGCACAAUGUCUCUGUGCACCAAAUACUGCCGAGAUGGCACCGUGUUGAAAAAUCCAAACAGUGUCUGUGAGUUAAAAUGGCCGCCAUCCAUUGUUCUCACCAUGUGCUUCUGAUACAGGAAAUGGUGGCCACCCAGUAACUCCACAGUAUGUCCCCAGAUGGUUCUUAAAGGGCCAGCAGCAGCACAACACAAAUCCAUUAUGCCCAAAUCAUGUCUUUAAAGGGCAAUACAUCCCAGGGGCCAUAGUCACAGGGCAAGAGGCGGGCAAGCAGUCCUCUCCAGGCACAAGUGGCGAAGGGCACUUCGUCACACCUAUUAUACUUCCCUGUAUGUUCUGCUAGCACAAACUCCCUUGUGUAGAGGAGAACAAUCAGCUAGCCAGUGCGGACUAAAAGUAGAGUAUAGGCACUGCAGCGGGCCGCACUCAGGAUUUCCUGUAUGCUAUGCAGGCGCUCUAACCAGUAAAGCUACCGCACCCCCUCGGGGUCUAAGUCUGGGUUCGAGGCUACCUUGUUCAGGAGCCCGGUUGGGUAUACCGCUCAAAGUAUCCUGCGGACCUCUCAAGCCAGCGGUCUAUGGACCCAGAAAUGCACCGAUGGUGCUAGGUGGUCGGGCAGAGGCCAUUCCAAGGAAAGCAGGUGGGCAAUGGAUCGAGGGUCAAACAGGGGUUCGUUUAAGGCGACCCGCAAGACGACCUCUUCUUCCACGGUCAUCAGCGCCCUGUAGUGGGCUUUGUUUUCUGUCACGUGGUGCCUUUUGGGGACAUCAUCAUAUCCCACACCCCUGUCGUCCUCUCCCUCCGAGUGGGACCAGGCCGCCCGCCAUUCAGCUAGGGUGGCCAUGGUGGGGGGGGUUACGGUGGCCUUUCACCCCUACACCACAUAAACAGUGUCGUCUGGCCGUCAAGGCCGAUCGUAUCGGGGCUAGAUGCUUCUCCAGAUUCUAAUCUUUCCGGGUGCCUGGUUCAGGGCCUUCACUCUCCUCUAGGGGAGCUUGACUCAUUCAAGUCGUCUGCCUUUUUUGAAAAGGUGGUCACUGCCACGUCCAGUGGUCGCUGCGUCCCCCGCGCCAUAUAGGCAGUGCCGUCUGGCCGUCGAAGCUGAUUGCAUCAGGGUCAGACGCUUCUCCAGAGUCUUAUCCUUCCGGGCAUCUAGUUCAGGGCCUUCACCCUUCCAGUAGUGCUUAUGCGCACUUGCCUGCUCUCAUCCAGGAGAGUCUGAGUCAUUCAAGACGCCUGCCAUUCUAAAAGGUAGUCACGGUCGUGUUAGACAGUGAGCUCUAGGAGUAUAAAGGACAAGUGUCACCAUCAGAACAUCGGGGCAGCACCCCAUAUACAGGGAGUGCAGAAUUAUUAGGCAAAUGAGUAUUUUGACCAUAUCAUCCUCUUUAUGCAUGUUGUCUUACUCCAAGCUGUAUAGGCUCGAAGGCCUACUACCAAUUAAGCAUAUUAGGUGAUGUGCAUCUCUGUAAUGAGAAGGGGUGUGGUCUAAUGACAUCAACACCCUAUAUCAGGUGUGCAUAAUUAUUAGGCAACUUCCUUUCCUUUGGCAAAAUGGGUCAAAAGAAGGACUUGACAGGCUCAGAAAAGUCAAAAAUAGUGAGAUAUCUUGCAGAGGGAUGCAGCACUCUUAAAAUUGCAAAGCUUCUGAAGCGUGAUCAUCGAACAAUCAAGCGUUUCAUUCAAAAUAGUCAACAGGGUCUCAAGAAGCGUGUGGAAAAACCAAGGCGCAAAAUAACUGCCCAUGAACUGAGAAAAGUCAAGCGUGCAGCUGCCACGAUGCCACUUGCCACCAGUUUGGCCAUAUUUCAGAGCUGCAACAUCACUGGAGUGCCCAAAAGCACAAGGUGUGCAAUACUCAGAGACAUGGCCAAGGUAAGAAAGGCUGAAAGACGACCACCACUGAACAAGACACACAAGCUGAAAUGUCAAGACUGGGCCAAGAAAUAUCUCAAGACUGAUUUUUCUAAGGUUUUAUGGACUGAUGAAAUGAGAGUGAGUCUUGAUGGGCCAGAUGGAUGGGCCCGUGGCUGGAUUGGUAAAGGGCAGAGAGCUCCAGUCCGACUCAGACGCCAGCAAGGUGGAGGUGGAGUACUGGUUUGGGCUGGUAUCAUCAAAGAUGAGCUUGUGGGGCCUUUUCGGGUUGAGGAUGGAGUCAAGCUCAACUCCCAGUCCUACUGCCAGUUCCUGGAAGACACCUUCUUCAAGCAGUGGUACAGGAAGAAGUCUGCAUCCUUCAAGAAAAACAUGAUUUUCAUGCAGGACAAUGCUCCAUCACACGCGUCCAAGUACUCCACAGCGUGGCUGGCAAGAAAGGGUAUAAAAGAAGAAAAUCUAAUGACAUGGCCUCCUUGUUCACCUGAUCUGAACCCCAUUGAGAACCUGUGGUCCAUCAUCAAAUGUGAGAUUUACAAGGAGGGAAAACAGUACACCUCUCUGAACAGUGUCUGGGAGGCUGUGGUUGCUGCUGCACGCAAUGUUGAUGGUGAACAGAUCAAAACACUGACAGAAUCCAUGGAUGGCAGGCUUUUUGAGUGUCCUUGCAAAGAAAGGUGGCUAUAUUGGUCACUGAUUUGUUUUUGUUUUGUUUUGAAUGUCAGAAAUGUAUAUUUGUGAAUGUUGAGAUGUUAUAUUGGUUUCACUGGUAAUAAUAAAUAAUUGAAAUGGGUAUAUAUUUGUUUUUUGUUAAGUUGCCUAAUAAUUAUGCACAGUAAUAGUCACCUGCACACACAGAUAUCCCCCUAACAUAGCUAUAACUAAAAACAAACUAAAAACUACUUCCAAAAAUAUUCAGCUUUGAUAUUAAUGAGUUUUUUGGGUUCAUUGAGAACAUGGUUGUUGUUCAAUAACAAAAUUAAUCCUCAAAAAUACAACUUGCCUAAUAAUUCUGCACUCCCUGUAGUGACAGAGGCAAGUUUGGCAGCGCAUGCAAUGCCCAAGCGUGAGUAUGUGCAUGCAGGCAUUCUGGCACAGACAACACAGGCCAGAUCAAUGGGGCACAGACAAAGCAGCCCAAUCAAUGGGGCACAGGCAAAGCAGGACAAUCAAUGGGGCACAGCCAAAGCAGGCCAACUCCUAGGGCGCAGACAAGUCAGGCCCUUCAGUGAUGUACAGGUGAUUAACUGCACAUUCCAUUCUUCUGAUUAAUUGUACAUUACACUCUUCAGAUAAAUUAUACAUAACACUCUUCCGAGUAAUUGUACAUAACGCUUCAGAUUAAUAGUACAUAACAUCCUUCUGUGUAACUGUACGAAACAUCCUUCUGUGUAACUGUACGCAACCUUCUUCUGUGUAACUGAACAUAAUACUCUUCUGUGUAACUGUACAUAAUAUUCAUCUGUGUAACUGUACAUAACAUUCUUCAGCUAAAUUAUACCCAACACUCUUCAGAGUAAUUUAAUCAAACAAGGCACAUAAGAAAUACAGAAGUCUAAAGUAAAAUCGCAGGGUCCCCGCGUCACCUACCCUACCGAGUGUAACUUCCAGGAUAAAACAGGGUAAAAUAGCAAGGCUCAUAGGUGGCAGGUGAAAGGCGAACUCACUGUUUAGUGAAUAAGCCAAAGAUAAUAAACUAAAAUACCAAAGAGCAACCAGAUCUAUAGCCUAAUCAAAAACCAUAGGCUUCUGAGUAACCAUACAGAAUAUAGCCACACAUAAAACGGACAGCGUACUGAUCUAUAUGAUGUCCUAACAUGACCACUGCACCCCAACUUAGGAAGGAAAUAUUUACCAACACUCUGGGGUGACCAGAUACGUAUAAGUGCUCCCCCAUAUGAAGAAAGCCAGAAUCCUGAAGGCAAACCUCCUAAAACUCCAAGAAAAAACUCCAAGAAAACAGGAGUAUAUGGAGACAAAAGUAGGCAGGAGUAGCAGUGGGGCUUCCCCAGCGACAGCAAUAUGCCAGCCACCAGGGGAACACCAGCGAAGCAGGCACAGGGUGGCACAAGAUUUAAUGCACAUCCUCCAUGCAAAGGAAAACACAGAGGCACAACAAUCAUAUCGGUGCAAUGUAGCACAUAAUGAAUGGUAGAACACAAUAAGAUUAUUAUCCACAAAUAAAGAUAAUCUACAUCUACUGCAAUGUAUGAAAUGAGACAGUAGUAAUGAGAUACACAAAGUAGAAAAUAAAUAGUAGCACUUGUGCUAGAAAUCCCACACCCUUGCGGCAAGCCCAGCGCCGAGGCGCCCCCCCCCCCCGCAUACACGUGGGCAGUUCAUCGCCCCACCCACGCCGCUCCAGCCGCGGGAGAGCUUAUACCGCGAGCUGAAGCGUGGGUCGGAGUCGGCGGGCGGGACCAACAUGUGGGACCACCGGAGUCUUACUCCGCGGUCCCAGUGGUCGGCAUGGGAAACGGUCGGAGGAGCGCUUUCCGGCGGCCGCAUACAAACGAGUGUGUGGGGGGGGGAAUGGAGAAAACCAUCGGCCGAAACAGGCAUGGGGGAGAUAAAAAAGCCCCCAGGCCCCCGAAACAACCCCCAGACAGAACAAAGAGGGGAAAGCACUCUACCUAAAGUACCAAUUAAAUCAAUAAUUCACUACAGUAAACACCAGAACUACAGAAAAACAAUCUAACUAAAUAAAUCAAUCAAUCCAGGAAUAAAUUGAUAAAUACAGGAAAUACUGUAGAAAUAAGUAAAACAAUACAGUAAAAAGCAGAUGAAUGCAUUAACUACAGGAAAAACAAUAUAAAUAAAUAAAUGAAUCAAUACAGUAAUAAACUGAUAAAUAGAGCAGGUAGAAGCAGUAAAUACAGUAAAAUAAUCCACAGCCACCCAUAUAUAACAGGAGGCAGUGGUAAUCUGACCUGUACUGACUGCGGAGCAGCAAAGAAAGAGGAAGUAGUUGGUUGGGAGGAGCCUUUUACGGAUUCCUUACUUUUUUGUCUUUGGUGUUUUUCUCUCUGUUAAUGUGCUGCUGUGGAGUUCUAGCAAAGAGAGACUUAAGCAAAUAUUCGCCUCCUGUCAUGUUAUAAAAUUAAGAUUAUAGUUACACUAAACUAGCAUAAUCUACAAUUCUAGUUAGUUUAUAGGUGGAUAUAUAUGUGUGUUUGUGGGCUGUUGCUUUCUUUUUUUUAUUCUGUUUCGAGGCUUGAUUUACCAGGACUGUUGUUUUUUUUUGUUUUUUUUAAUCUUAUUUUUGUUGUGCAUUGGAAUACAUUUACAUUUGCAAUGCCACAAUAGAAAUAGCAAGUAUUUCAAUAAACAUGGAAAAAACAUAAUGAAACAAUUGCAUGUCAUACAGCCCCUAGCAGGACUAUUUUUUUGGCUAGACAAUUGUUAGACAAUUUCUCACUUUAGGACUUUACUCUGUGCUAAGAAUUGUUGUAUUGAAUUCUCAGUAUGAUGCAAAUAUUUUAUGUUUCUUUUUUUGGGUGUUAACACUGUUUAUUGCAAACUUUUGUUUCUGUAACUUUGUGGCAGAGUGUUAUUCCAGUAGGAAUCUGCAAAGCAAAAUAAUGAAUCCCGCUGCGAUACACUACAAGCCUGUAGAUCCCAGGGCUGAUCUCCCAGGACCCCAAGGUAAAAUAUAAAUAUCACUUCUGGCCUCACUAUACGAGGUGCUGGAGUCAGUCCAAUAGAUUGCACCAUUCUUGAUCAGGUGUCUGUGAAGAGUGCAGUUUGAUUUAUAUUUGAACAAGAAGACAGUUUCAGAUAUCUUCAGAUAUCUCCCAAGAAGUCCUAUCAGGAACAGCGAAAAUAGAAAGUCAAGAAUACAUGAAAAACAUAUUUCAGAAUUUAAGAAAUCUGGAAAUAAACAGUGCUUUGUUUAACAGAGCUGUGGGAACUCUGACUGCAUGCAAUCUCUUCUCUCUGAAUUGUGGGGUCCGAUGGGUCAUUGCUCAGUUAUUGUACCCUGCGUUGUGAGUGGGUAUCAAGUGAUCAUGUUCACAGCUGUAGUGUCUGCGUAUAAGACCUAAUGUUUCAUUAAUCUUUAUAUGUUUAUUGGAACUGCUACCGUACCAAAAACUUUUAUAUUUGUUUAUCGGACCUGGUGUUUUACGAUAGUUUAUAUGUUUAUCAGACUUGGUGCUUUAUAAUAGUUUAAAUGUUUAUUGGUCCUUGUGUUUUACGACAGUCAUUAUGUUUUUUGGAUCUAGUGCUUUACAAUAGUUUAUAUAUUUAUUGGUCCUAGGGAUUUACAAUAGUUUAAAUGUUUAUCAGACCUGGAGCUUUAUAUUAGUUUGUGUUUAUCCGACUUGGGGGUUUACGUUAGUUUAAAUGUUUAUCAGACCUGGUGCCUUAUGAACAGCUGAUGUAAAAAAAUGAACCAAAGUUCUUCGGCUUACUUUGUCCUGUUAAGCUUCACUGAACAAUCAGGCCCAGAGACAUUGAUUGGGAUUCUUUUUCUCUCUUUGUAUCUUGUCACAAUCAUAGGAAACGCAACCAUUAUUUCACUCAUACAAAUUGACCCUAAACUCCAAACUCCAAUGUACUUUUUCCUUGGGAAUCUGUCCUUUUUGGAUAUUUGCUUAAGCUCAACUACAGUCCCAAAACUGGUGGCCAAUCUCUUCUCCUCAAAAAUAAUUUCUUUGAGAAGCUGCUUUACUCAAAUGUACUUUUUCUUUUUUGUUGGAAACACAGAGAGUUUGCUAAUGACUGUAAUGGCGAUCGAUCGCUAUGUGGCUAUCUGCCAACCCCUCUAUUACACCGUGAUAAUGAGCCACAAGAUUUGUGUCCUUUUUGUGUCAUUAUGCUGGAUCAUCUCUUCUNNNNNNNNNNNNNNNNNNNNNNNNNNNNNNNNNNNNNNNNNNNNNNNNNNNNNNNNNNNNNNNNNNNNNNNNNNNNNNNNNNNNNNNNNNNNNNNNNNNNCUCCAUUCACUCCUGUACAGCGUCAUGACAUCCAGACUAUCCUUCUGUGGCACAAACUUAAUCAAGCAUUUCUUCUGUGAUAUUCCUCCAAUUCUGCACAUCACCUGCUCAGACACUUCCAGGUAUAGGCUGGUUCUUUACGUCGAAGGAUCUCUUGUUGUGGGCUCUGCUUUGAUCACUAUCCUGACAUCAUAUAUUUUAAUCCUCCGAGCCAUUGCCACCGUUUCAUCCUCUGGCUUCCAGUGGAAGUUACUCUUCACCUGCUCCUCCCAUCUUAUUGUUGUCUUACUAUUUUAUGGUACGGACCUGCUCACAUACAUGGGGUUAGCACUAAAAAGCAGCAGCCUGUAUAACCAAAUUCUUAGUGCGUUUUAUGCUACCAUCACCCCCAUGCUCAAUCCAUUCAUUUACAGUCUGAGAAACAGUGAUGUCAAGUUGGCGUUCCAAAAAGUGCUCCUAAGGUUUAAUAACUAAAGCUAGCCUACCGUGAACCGUAAUGAAAACACCAGAAAACAUUUAUUUUCUUUAUUUUACUUUUAUAUUUUUCAUUGGUAUCCAGAACACAGAAUACAUUUUGCCAUGUGAACUUUAUUAAUAAUCAUGUAUUUAAGUAGAUAAACACAUAUAACUAAUAAUUAGAGUUCAUUACUAAAGACUCUACAAUACUGAACCUAAUAUACAUAUGUUAACCUAUUGUAAAUUAUAUUAUUUUUCCUUUCAACAGGACAAUUUUAUGGCAGGACAGGAGGCUUCAUAUUUGCAUUACCUUCUUUACUGAAACCUCCAGCAGCAAAGAAACAGUUAACAGAACUUUUCAAAACAACCAAUCAGAACACAGUAACAGCAGUAUAAAACCACUUAGGCGGGCCCUUCCUCUUUCUUUGCUGCUCCCUCCAGGUGAGCACUCGCCAACUCAGAGUUGUCUGUGCUCUGGGUUGUUUUUUCUCCUACAUGAUGGUUAUUUAUUUAAGCAGUUUAUUUGCUGGGUUUAUUUAGGCAGUUGUUUGCUGUGUUUAUUUAGGCAGGCUGUUGCUGGGUUUAGCUAGGCAGUUUAUUCUGUGUUAUUUCCUAUACCACCUCAGGCUAUGUAGCUGCUGUUUAACUUUAUAACAUCUAUUGCUGUUUUUUUAGGCUAUUUAUCUGAUAGAUUCUGGAUUGUUGUAUUGUUAUUCUGGGUUACUUUUUACUGUUUCCUCACUCUGAUGUAUGGGGAAUGGGUUCCUGCCCUGCUAAGGUGCUUUGCACUGCCUGUAAUCCAUUUCCCCUCCCUGGGUUCUCNNNNNNNNNNNNNNNNNNNNNNNNNNNNNNNNNNNNNNNNNNNNNNNNNNNNNNNNNNNNNNNNNNNNNNNNNNNNNNNNNNNNNNNNNNNNNNNNNNNNCUCCCUGGGUUCCCCUGCUGGGCUCUGUCGCCCAUACCCCUUCUCCCUUAUUCCCCGCCUGCUGCCCGCGGCCCCUGGCCGCUUGCUGGACCGCUUUUUCAACCGCGGCAGUGCCGCGCGAUUAUUUUUUCGGAGCCACAUGGGCUCCGUGCGUUGCAAAUAGCCUGGUCUCACCCACCGAGUUUCCCUGCUGCUUGCUCCCCAUGUGGCCAGCCUCCCCUCUCCCUGUAUCAGGGAAGAUAGCCCAGUGUUUCAGCUAUCCCUCUACUUACUGUGCCUGUCCCUCAUGUUGCAUAUGUAACAGAUCCUGGAUAGCAGGAUCUGUCCCAGGCACUCCCACAGCUCACAAUUGCAUCUUACUAUACUGUCUGAUGCAAUGUGAUCAUGUCUUCUAUCUUAGCAGUAGACUUGUCACGCUUUUUACUAUAUAAAUGUGAAUUUCAGAUUUAAAGGGGCAUGUUACAGCUCAAAUAAAGAUCAUUGUUUAAAAAGAUUAUGCCACACAUGACAUCUGCUAAGCAGGUCUUUUCUUAAGGUUCAGUCAUUUUCUCAUAAAAAUUGUAUGGCCUGUUUUUCAGCAUCUAGUUCCCCUGUCUAGGAUUUGCUGCCCUUCCUGCAGGUGACUUCAGUUUUUUUGCCACUAUACAUACAUUUCAACAGUGUAUCCUAAUAUAAAACCUGAGUGGUCUGUAGAUGUGAGUCAGCUUCAAUCUGUACGGACCCUUCUAACUGACUCCACAUAAAACAGGGGGUGACCCCCGUCUAUAUUUCUGGGGCACUGCCCUCUAGUGGACCAUAAUAAUGGACGUGUGACACCAUUGUGGGCUGGGUGACCCCCUCCCUCUGGCAACAUGGCUACUGAUGGCUCUCUGGCAACAUGGCUCUACAACGCCCUGUAGGAUUAAUGCUGAGGGUGACCCCCUCCUGCUUCCUACACUAAUGCACCGGCAAUAUCCUAUGUUUAUCGUACCGAAGGUGAACCCCUCCUACAAUAUGCACUGCUGGUCCGGCAGUGUCCGGGCAUACCCAUAAAGGAGGGUGACUGUUACAAAACUGUUCCUUUAAAUGGCAAAUUGACCUGCUUCCCUGGAUUAUGGAGGAGCCUAUUUGCCAGCCUCCUCCCCCAUGACUAUGGACCGGGUGUGUAUGGCCCUUUAAGAACAGUCUGUGAGCAUAUUGGGGCUUAUGGACUCCAUAUGUGACUGGUGCUGGCCCUUUAAGCACAUUUUUGGGACAUAGAGAAAAUUGGGACAAUGACCCUUUAAGACGGUGUCCCCAGACUUGUUUGGGACACUGCCCCUUUAAGACGGUGUCCCCAGUGUCCCCAGACUUGGUUAAAAUCCUUUGUUCAUUGCUAUUUUCCACUUGGUUCAGUAAAUGGGUCUUACUGAACCAAGUACCACACAGGCGGACCACCCAGAAGUGGAAGUGUGCAGGCAAUUUACCUCCCAGGCAGGGAGCCUGCUGUAGGUAAAUUGCCGACCGCUGGGGGGCAGCCGUUUGUGCAAACCAAGACGUGGCGGCGGCCAUCUUUGUUCAUUCGAACGAGGUCAGCAGUAUGUAUAGCCAAAUUCAUGGAACUGGAAUCGGCUACGUAUUUAGAUGAACACCGCUGACCCCUACCUUCUCCUACACUAAGUGUGAAGCCGCAGAGACUAAGUCCCGUUCGGCAGUUUGAACUCACUGUUAUACUGAGCUAAAUGCACGAACAGCCUCAUUCAUGCAUUCGAAUGGGACUAAUUUUUCUGCAUAAAACUGACCGGCCGCACAGCCCAAAUCUAUGGAACAGUUUUGGGCAGGAAAAUGUGCUUGUGGUCGGUCAUAAAGGACCUCCGUCUAACUUUUUAUCUACUGGACAGAUUUGUCUGAUUUUUUUGUGUUUAUAUUUAAAGUGUGCUGAUUCUGAAUAUGUAAUUAUGAAGAUUGGACGUAUAUUUUUAAAGUUACAGUGUAUGUANNNNNNNNNNNNNNNNNNNNNNNNNNNNNNNNNNNNNNNNNNNNNNNNNNNNNNNNNNNNNNNNNNNNNNNNNNNNNNNNNNNNNNNNNNNNNNNNNNNNGUUCCUAUAGUCUUGGGGUAUCCCUGGCUUAAGAAGCAUAACCCUAUCAUUGACUGGGAACUGGGUGAGAUAGUCUCCUGGGGUCAGGGUUGCCAGAGAGGAUGUUUGCAGAAAGUCUCAUCGAUUUGCAGGGUUGACGCCCCGGUUAACUCUUCCCAACCUACAGAUUUACAGAUACCGUCGCAGUACCUGGAUUUAAAGGCAGUCUUUGACAAAAAGAGGGCUGAUACUUUACCUCCACAUAGGUCUUUCGACUGUAAAAUUAGACUCCUACCUGGUACUAUGCCUCCGAGGGGUACUGUAUAUCCUUUAUCCACUAAGGAAAACUUAGUCCUAGAGGAGUACAUACGUGAAAACCUAGACAAAGGAUUUAUUAGGAGAUCAUCUUCUCUGGCCGGGGCCGGUUUCUUUUUUGUAGAUAAAAAAGACGGCACUCUACGGCCUUGCAUUGAUUAUCGGGGCUUGAAUAAGAUAACUGUUAGAAAUGCUUAUCCUAUUCCUUUAAUUACUGAGCUCUUUGAUCGACUGAAAGGCUCCAAGAUUUUCACCAAGUUAGAUUUGAGGGGAGCUUAUAACUUGGUGAGAAUUCAGCAGGGAGACGAAUGGAAAACAGCUUUCAAUACCCGUUAUGGCCACUAUGAAUACACGGUAAUGCCCUUCGGGCUUUGCAAUGCACCUGCAGUAUUCCAGGACCUUAUUAAUGAGGUUCUUAGGGAAUUUCAGCAUGAAUGCGUUAUAGUAUAUUUGGAUGAUAUACUAAUACACUCUAGAGAGAUUGAGACUCACUACAGACAAGUCAGAAGGGUACUGCGCAAACUGUUACAACAUGGAUUGUACUGCAAAUUGGAAAAGUGUAGCUUCGACCAAUCUCAGAUAAACUUUCUUGGCUACGUUAUUUCUGGAGACGGAUUUAGGAUGGACCCCAUUAAACUUCAAUCGAUUUUAGAUUGGCCAUUGCCCAGGGGACUCAAGGCCAUUCAGAGAUUUAUCGGAUUCUCCAAUUAUUAUAGGCGUUUCAUUAAAGGUUACUCUUCUAUUAUUGCUCCUAUUACCAAUAUGACUAGACAGGGUGCUGAUACCAAGACUUGGUCUACAGAGGCUCUCUCUGCUUUCAAAACACUCAAAGAACAUUUUGCCUCAGCACCGAUAUUAGUUCAUCCUGACACAUCUUUGCCUUUUUUACUCGAGGUUGACGCCUCGGAGACAGGUAUAGGCGCUAUCUUGUCCCAAAGGCUAGGUUUGGAUAAACCGUUACAUCCUUGUGGUUUUUUUUUCAAGAAAUUAUCUGGGCCUGAAAGUAGAUAUGACAUUGGUGAUAGGGAACUGUUAGCGGUCAUUAUGGCUUUAAAGGAAUGGAGACAUUUGUUGGAGGGGACAUUAUACCCGGUUACUAUUUUGACGGAUCACAAGAAUUUGUCCUACAUAGGGGAGGCCAAGCGCUUGUCCGCCAGGCAAGCUCGUUGGUCCUUGUUUCUGACACAUUUCAAUUACGUGCUCACUUAUAGACCUGGUUCUAAGAACUCUAAGGCAGAUGCAUUGUCCCGUCAACAUGAACCUUCUACGGUGUCUGAAGCAGCUUUGUCUUCUAUCGUUCCCAAGUGUAAUAUUAUUGCCAACACAUGUGUCAGGAUACACUCGCCGUUGCUUGCUGAGAUCAAGAAAGUACAACAUCUAGCUCCCAAACCUGUUCCUGGGGAUCGAUACUUCGUUCCUCCUGAGCUCCAAGUGGAACUGCUGCAUUGCUUUCAUGACAGUAAAAUUGCUGGGCACCCCGGCAUACGCAAAACGUGUUCCCUGAUUUCUAAAGAUUUCUGGUGGCCUUCCCUUCGUAAGGAUAUAAGGGAUUUCGUCAGGGCAUGUGCUGUCUGUAUGAAGACUAAGCAACCUCACGCGCUCCCUUGUGGACUUUUACAUCCCUUAGAAAUUCCCGAGAGACCAUGGUCGUGUUUGGCUAUGGACUUCAUUGUCGAUUUGCCUGUUUCUAAAAAGCAUACUAUUAUUCUCACGGUGAUUGACAGGUUUACUAAAAUGGCUCAUUUCGUGCCCUUGCCUAAACUGCCCUCGUCUCCCGAAUUAGCUGAGAUAUUCGCGAGGGAGAUUUUUCGUUUACAUGGUAUUCCCUCUGAAAUUGUUUCUGAUAGAGGUUCCCAAUUUGUUUCCCGCUUUUGGAAGUCUUUCUGUUCUCACUUAGGCAUCAAGUUGAAUUUCUCAUCUGCCUAUCAUCCCCAGUCCAACGGAGCUGCCGAACGCACCAACCAAAAGAUUGAACAAUAUUUACGUUGUUUUGUUUCUGAACACCAGGACGAUUGGGUUGGUCUGAUUCCUUGGGCAGAGUUUGCACACAACAAUCUCGUUUGUGAUUCUACUCGUUCUAGCCCCUUUUUCUUGAAUUAUGGCUUUCAUCCUUCCAUUCUUCCGUCGGUUUCCCCUUCCCAAGGGGUUCCGUCAGUUGAUGUUCAUGUCGCCAAUCUAAGAAAGUUGUGGGAUCAGACUCGACGAAUUCUUCUUCAGAAUUCCAUGGUGUUCAAGCGACACGCUGACAAACGGAGACGGGUGGCUCCGGUUUUUGCCCCGGGUGAUAGGGUGUGGUUGAGUACCAGAAACAUCCGCUUGAAGGUUCCUUCCAUGAAAUUUGCCCCUCGUUACAUAGGCCCUUACAAGGUUCUGUGUCGGAUUAACCCGGUUGCGUAUCGUCUUGCCCUUCCGCCUGCCCUACGCAUCCCUAACUCUUUUCAUGUUUCUUUGUUGAAGCCUUUGGUUUGCAACAGAUUUUCCUCCGCUGAGUCCUCCCCUCUCUCUGUCCAGGUUGAGGGUCAGGAGGAAUAUGAAAUCAAAUCCAUUCUCGAUUCUCGUAUUUCUCGGGGGAGGUUGCAAUAUCUUGUUGACUGGAAGGGGUAUGGGCCUGAAGAAAGGUCUUGGGUGGUCCAUGAAAAUGUGCAUGCCCCUCGUCUCCUCCGGGCAUUUCAUGCUCGUUUUCCGUCCCGCCCCGGUUCCUUCCGCCCGGUGGGCGUUUCUGAGAGGGGGGGUACUGUCAGGGUACCUUUGGUGUCUACCUCGGAGGAGGUUAGACACCUAGGCGUCCAUCCUCCCAGGGGGGCUGACUCACCCGAUCCUUGCACUCCUCCCGGUCGUUUACACGCCGGCCGCGAUAGCUCCGCCUCCUUUUAUGACGCGGCGCUCAGUAGCCGACGUCAUGACGGCAAUCACGUUCCGACCGUCAAUCACGGCAACCAAGUGCCGAACAACGAAUCAGGACUCGUUGGGGGCGGAGCCAACAGUUAAAGAGCCAAGGUAUAAAAAAGGGUUCUGUGGAAUGAUUCAUUGCCCUGUCGUGGUUCUAGCUAGUCUGGUCACUCAGUGCAAUUACCUCUAUUGUCUUUUGGUUCCUGGCUCGGCUUGUAUUUUGACCCUGCUUUCCUCUCUUGUCCUUUUGACUCGGCUUGUCUCUCGCUUACCUGAUCUCUCGUUCCCUCGACCUCGGCUUGUCUCUGACCAUUCUUUUGCUUUCUCCUUACGUUAGUCCGGCCAUUCUAAGGUCCGGUAUACGUACCUAUCUCCUGUUUGUAUUCUGCGUGUUGGAUCCCUGUCACGAUCCUGACAAUGUGAUCUACUUGGAUUUUGCCAAGGCAUUUGAUACGGUUCCUCACAAUAGGUUAGUCUUCAAACUAAAAGAAAUUGGUCUAGAUGAAUAUUCUUGUUCUUGGGUAGAACAUUGGCUUAAGGACAGAGUACAACGAGUUGUAAUUAAUGGUAAAUUUUCAGGCUGGACAAAAGUGGUAAGUGGUGUCCCUCAGGGUUCUGUUUUGGGACCACUUCUAUUUAACAUAUUUAUAAAUGAUCUUGAAAUAGGCAUUGAAAGCCAUGUAUCAGUGUUUGCAGAUGACACAAAACUUUGUAAAGUAAUAAAAAGUGAGCAGUAGAUUGGAGGACUGGGCACUAAAAUGACAGAUGCAAUUUAAUAUAGAGAAAUGCAAAGUUAUGCACAUCGGGGUUAAGAAUGCACAAGCAACUUACACACUAAAUGGUAGUGAAUUAGGGAUAACCACACACGAGAAGGAUUUGGGAAUUGUUAUAGACAACAAAUUAGGCAGCAAUAUGCAAUGUCAAUCUGCAGUUGCUAAGGCCAGUAAGGUUUUGUCAUGUAUAAAUAGGGGCAUAAAUUCUCGGGAUGAAAAUAUAAAUUUGCCUCUUUAUAAAUCGCUGGUAAGACCACACUUUGAAUAUGCUGUGCAAUUUUGGGCGCCUGUUCUAAAGAAGGAUAUCAUGGCACUGGAGAGGGUCCAGAGACGAGCUACAAAAUUGAUAAAAGGAAUGGAGCAUUUUAGUUAUGAAGAAAGGUUAAAAAAUUAAAUCUGUUUAGUUUGGAAAAACGGCGCCUGAGAGGGGAUAUGAUAACUUUAUACAAAUAUAUUGGGGGCCAGUACAAACCUUUAUCUGGAAAUCUAUUCAUAAACAGGGCUAUACAUAGGACACGAGGUCACACAUUUAGGCUGGAAGAAAGGAGAUUUCAUCUAGGGCAAAGAAAAGGUUUUUUUAGAGUAAGAACAAUAAGGAUAUGGAAUGCUCUGCCUGAAGAGGUGGUUUUGUCAGAGUCCAUACAGAUGUUUAAACUGAAAUUGGAUAAAUACUUACAAAAACAUAACAUACAGGGAUAUAAUUUCUAAUUAGUGGAGUAAUAGCUGCUUGAUCCAAGGAGACAUCUGACUGCUAUUUUGGGGUCAAGAAGGAAUUUUUUCCUAGUUUGUGGCAAAAUUGGAAGCGCUUCAGACCAGGUUUUUUGCCUUCUUUUCGAUCAACAGCAACAACAUUUGUGAGGAAGGCUGAACUUGAUGGAUGCAAGUCUCUUUUCAGCUAUGUAACUAUGUAACCUGAAUUGCUAAAGUACCAGCACAGAUUUAACCUCUACUGGCAUUUAAAAGAAGGACAAACUAGGAUGUACGGAGGGUACUUAAAAAACCCUACCCCCCCCAACACGUUAACUAGAUGGGACUUUAAACUGCAGACAGACUAUGUUUCUGUGUGAUCUUGGCAGCAUACGACUGUUGGGUGGGAGUAGAACUCACUCCAGUAAAUGUUUACAGUGAUUAAAAAUGCGUCACAUGAACCACUUUCAAAAAAAACUGUGUAACACAAAAAAAAAAAAAAAACAUUNNNNNNNNNNNNNNNNNNNNNNNNNNNNNNNNNNNNNNNNNNNNNNNNNNNNNNNNNNNNNNNNNNNNNNNNNNNNNNNNNNNNNNNNNNNNNNNNNNNNAUUUUAUUACUUAUACUCCUUACAUAAGAUUUUAUACAGCGAGCACUAUUAGUUGUCUCUUUUCUCCCUUAUGAUCUAAAUAUCGGUAAAAGACUUAACCCUCUACACGCAUCCUACAAGUGGGGAUUAUACCGCUGUACGUUAUUCAUACUAGAGCUGGUUUAAGCUCUACUAAACGUGAGUAGGACUGUAUUAGACUCUGUUGUUAUAUACACCAUCUUUACCAGACGUACUGCCCUAUAAUCUGUCUUUCUCUUCCACAUACAGAGUAAAAGACCAAUACUUCUCUACGUAUCCUAUAAGCAGGGAUUGUACCGCUGAACGCCAUCCACACUAGAGCUAGUUCAGCUCUACUACACGUGAGAAGGAUUACUAUAGAUCUCUUCUUCCUGCAUAUCAACCCUCUUAAAAGACGUAUUUGCACUAUUAUUUGCUUCUUUCUUUACAUACGGAUCCUGGAAAGUGACCCUGAGAGAGAAUACUCCUCCACAUAAGCCGUCGGUGGCCCAUCAGACCCAACUAAAGACUUUGUUUUGGCACCACUUACACUUUAAACUUUGUUCAUUUUAGCUGCACUUUAGUCAGCUUUGGCGCAACCUUCUUCUGUUUUGUCUUGUAUAUUACCUUUGUUCAUAGGGCUUAGAGGGAAUCCUAUUUUUAGGUUGCUGCCUCCUACUUUACCUAUUCAUAGGAUUGGUCUAUUUUAGCGCUGUUUCCUUCUUUUGUACAUUUGUAUUUGUUUUUACUAGUUUUACAUGUGAUCCAGUCCUGACAGUAAAAGAAGCCUUUCUUUUUCAUUCCUGCCUCUUCUUUUUUUGCUUUCAAGUGAUUGUUUGUUAAUUUUCUCUUUAUGAGCUCCCCUAAAGAUUAUCCUCGGUUUAUCUGGUAAACUACUAGCAAGUAGUCUAUCUUUCUUCAAUAGGUGCCAAUGUUUUCUGAGUAUUUUCUUGAGUUGUACAUUUUCUUUAUUAUAGUCCAGGAUAAUUGCUGGGAACGUAUUUCCUAGGUCUGGUGUUCUUGUUUUUUCUUUUUCCUUCAGGAGGUUAUUAUGAUCCAAAUUCUCCACCUUUAAUAGUGCAAUUUGAACUUCCAUAGGGUCGUAAUUCUUGGCUAAAAACGUAUCCUUCACAUUCUUUGCCUGUUCUAUAUAUACUUGAUAGUCAUUACAGUUGCGUCUUAGUCUUCUGAAUUCAUUAUAUGGGACAUUUUUGAGCCAUGUUGGAAGGUGACAGCUUUCUUUCAGAAUAAAACUAUUCACAUCAACCUCUUUAAAAUGCGUCUUUGUCUUAAUUGUACCGUAAUUUAUAUAGAUUGUGAGAGCUAAAAAUUCCACCGCUGUUCUGCUGUGGACUGUAUUCAAUGUUACCCUCCAGGUAUUUUUAUUCGCAUAUUCAAGGAAUUUCUGUAAUUCUUCCGUAUCUCCUUCCCAUAUGAAGAAGAUAUCGUCUAUAUACCUUUUAUAAUUAUAGAUGUUGCUAUUCCAAGGGUGUAUAUUCCAGAUGUGGUUCUCCUCCCACUCACCCAUGAAUAUAUUUGCAAAACUAGGGGCGAAUUUCAUCCCCAUUGAAUUACCUCUCUUUGAAGAUAGAAUUGACUUUCAAACAGAAAAUAAUUGUUCUUGAGUAUGAAUGCAAUACCCUCAAUGAUAAAUGUGAUUUGGGAAUCCUCUAGCUCUCUAAUCUUUUUCAGUGUAUUCAUCACAGAAUAACAUACUUGUUCAUGCUCAAUAAUAGUAUAUAAUGAUGUAACAUCGAUAGAUAACAGAAUGAAAUUCUCUUUCCAAGUUAUGUGAAUAAAUUCAAUGCUACCAUAGAUGUUAAAAGAUUCAUCCGGAAUGUGAGCCUUUUAAGCAAAUCCCAGACUUUCCAAAGAAAGAAGUAUCUAUCAGUAUUUUCCAACACAGUAAACUAAAACUCACCUCUACCUUCUACCCUAUUAACCAAGUGUCUGCUGGGAUGGAGUUGUUUGAAGAACUCGUCAUAGACGAUAUAAGGAAAAUGAAGAAAAACAAACAUUAAAGGAAUAAUCUUACUAGGAAAAAAAUAGACGCGAUAGAAGAUCUAGCAAAUAAUAGUGAAAUCUGCAUCAAACCGGCAGAUAAAGGAGGAGGAAUUGUGAUCAUGACAAAGGAGUUUUACCUGAACGAGACUAACAGACUGCUGGGAGAUAUAGAAACCUAUGAAACGUUAUCUAGAGACCCACUAGUGGAAAUACAAAAAGCACUGAAGGACAUGCUUCUGAAAGCUAAAGACAUAGGGAUUCUAAAGGAGUCAGAAAACAGAUUUCUGGAUACCCAUUUCCCAAGAACUCCAAAACUGCACAAAAAUCCACAAAGAUCUGAUAUCACCACCGGGUAGACCGAUUAUUUCAGGAAUGAACUUAAUCACCUCCAAUCUCUCACAAUAUAUCGAUUCCUUCUUACAGCCGUAUGUGUUUAGGGUUAGGUCACAGCUUAAAGACACGUCGCAGAUGAUUUGAGAAUUGGUCUCUAUAACUUGGAAAGAGAAUUUAAUUCUGGUAUCUAUGGAUGUUACAUCAUUAUAUACUAUUAUUGUCCUGAACCUUAGGGCCAAUGUCAUUGUGUGGUUAUUUUUACUGUAGUCUCUCUCAGGUCCAGUAGGGAGUGCCACUUGCACGGGAAAUUGCAUAAAAGGCCAGUUGUGGCUACCAAUAAAUGAGUUCCUGCCUACCCUUAACAUAGAGUCUCAUCUCAUGUGUGGGGGGAACAGCUGUAUCUACUCUGGGGAUUGCUAUAUCACUAUACACCUCUGGGUAAUAAUCACUUGCUCAUAUAAGAACUGUUCCUGCUACACUCUCUGGAGUAGGAGAGGUCUGCCCACUGGAAGCUAGAUUCUGGUCUUGGGUCCAGGGUGGGUGGAGGACAUUGAGACCCCAGCCAAGCUGUAAUUUGUCUGUGUAUAUUGUAUGUUCUCUCUUGUACAGCGCUGCAGAAUCUGUUGGCGCUUUAUAAAUACCAGUAAUAAAUAAAUUAAAUAAACAUCCAAAACACAUGCCUCUAUGAAUAAUUUGCAGCACAUAAUAUAAAUAAACAUUUACAUGUGGUUUACAUGUGGUUCACAUGAAAUAAUGUGCCCAGUAAUAUUUAUAUAAAAUCUUGUUAAUUCAUUCUUCUUCCUUUUUAACAUCUAUAUGUGAGGGCAUGUGUUGAGGAUUGUCUUUAUGAUUUUAUUAUAUCUAAUACCCUGUAUUUUGUUUUAUAUUGUGCUUUUGAGCAUUACAGGCUCCAUUCUGCCGAUUUCGAUUAAACUUAGGACUUUGUAUUACAACAACAUGGUGGCCGCUUGCGAACUGCGGGUGUAACGCAAGAUGGUCGCCAUGUGGAACUCAAAUGUAAUUUACAGCGACUUCUGGAAGUGGGGCACCGGAAGUGACGUCACGGAAACGCUGAAACCUCUGAACCCAGGAAGACCAAAUUGGAUAAUCUUGUACACGUGUCACGUGGAGGAAAACACCCACUGGACCACAAAUAAGAAUCUAAUACUGGCCAUAUAUGUAUAUAUAGAAGGACUCACAGGGGAGGGAUUUAUGCUGCUAUUUUCCUGUUCAGGAUUGUCUGUAUAUGAUUAUUUUAUGCUGUUAUAUUAUGUUCUAUAUAUCUUUUGUUUGCGAGUCAGAGGGAGUACCUAUGCUGCUCUCCCAAGUUGAUUUGUAUGGAAGAGUUAUAAGAGUAGAGUGGAAAACUAAGGAAAUCUGACUCCAUUGUAUCGGGGAAGACUAGACUUAUGGCUGAAUCAUUUUUCCUGAUCUAAAAAUUCAAUAAAAGAACACUAUAGUGUCAGGAGUACAAACGUAUUCCUGACACUAUCGUUUUAAAAACACAGUUUAGGUGCAUAGCCAACCCUUACACCCCGUUAAAAGGUGUUAAACUCACCUUACUUCCAAUGCCGCACUGGUCUCACAGUGGCUGGCACCACCUUGCUUCGCCUCCUUGGCUGAGAUCAUCAAAUUUGACAAUUUCAGUCACUCCAAUGCUUUUCCAUAGGAAAUCCAAAAAGGAUUGAGAGUCCAUUUUUAGAUAGAAUUUUUAUUAAUACUAUUUCUGUGUUUCAUUGUAUAUGUAUGUACAUUGUACAGUAAUAAUAAAGCUGAAUCUUAGGAACGCUCUAUUAACUAUUUGCGUGCUGCCAGUUAUGUCAUUCAUAGGCCCCAUCUUGGGGGCAUUGAUUGAAGCCUCAGCUGAUGCCCACAGGUUACUACUAUCUAGUCUUUUAUUACAGCGAAGUCCAAUAAACAUGCUUCCGAAGUACAGUUAUCAGAGGAUCUUUCUCGAGUAACCGCCUGUUUUUUACAAAAUCCAGUGCACUCAUUUUAAACUGUGUUUUGCCAAUGAUAUGUAAUCAAGGCCAAAUUUGCAAACAAGCCCCUCUGAUAAAGUAAAAGCCAAGAUUGGCUCAAUGCAAGGUGCCUGUUCACGGUCAAGCCCGGACUUAUUACCCUGCCAGACAAGACAGAACAUUCUUACAUUAUUUAUUAGUUUUUUUCAGUGAUUUUUUUCCCAGCAUUUAAUGUUUUGGAAUUACACUAUAAAUAUCCACCCAGGGCCGGCGCGUCCUAUAGGCGACUUAGGCAGUCGCCUAAGGCGCACCGGCCUGUGGGGCGCUAGAUUUAGGUGAUCAGCAGGAGGGAAGCGCACAGCGCUCCCUCCUGCCGAUCACUCAAUGUAGCGUGGCUGGGCGGCGCGGACCGCGGGACAGGAACUUCUGUUUCCUGUACCCGGCCACCGGCAGAAUGACAGGAAGUGCUCACUCGGUGAAGUGAGAAGACCACUACUCUGGUAUCAAGCUUGUUUCUUCUAUUUUACAUGAUGAUGACCAUAUUAAUGCCACGUAAAUCCAAUAAAGAGAAUUUCUAAUGACAGAGUUAAUCACAAAACAAGAAAUUUCAUCAUUCACCCAGAAGGGACCCAGUGUUUGCACUGCUAAUUAAAAAUGCUAAUUAAAGAAAGUGUUUUGACAAUGUUUAUUUCUUUCUUUUAAUUGAAGCCGGAGAGGCUUGAUAUUAAUAGACAGAAAGAAAUAAAAAGGCUGACUCUCGACUGUGCUAUAACUCGGGGGAAAUAAGGCUCUUAUUUGGAGAUUUAGCCUCUAUGGGGCACCAUACUAAUUCUGCUCUAGCUCAGACAGGAUUUAACUCCUAUGUAGCAGCUGUGGUUAAUUUGCUUUUAAAGAUCUAAUCCCUCUGUAUCAUCCACAAUAUCUCCGCUGGUAAACAGGAACAGCAUAAAAUAAUCCAGGCAAAAUAAGUACAGCAUACAAUAAUCCCGGUAGCGUUGUAUAAAUCCUUCCUUCCCAAGAACUAGACUACACAUAGGCUGGGAGUCAACUGAGUUUUUAAUCACAGGUCACAGUGUAACGGCUACCCAGGUUGUAAGGGGGUAUCAGCCGUUGGAGAUGUCCUUUCCCUGGUAAACUGCUGUGCAGUAAUGGAGUUUCCUAUUCCCAUCCAUGAGAUCCAAGCGUAAAGUCAGGCAUAGCUGUAAAAUGGAGCAAGGUAAUUGUGCAGUAAAUCCCCUUCCAAGAACGAGACCAGGCUACGUUUUGAAGGGUCAAGCAGAACUAACUUCUAUUGACAGGGGUUUUCCUUUUAUGCAAUUCUGCCCUUGGGAGGGUGACACCUACAUAAUUAGUACAGUACCCAAUCACAAGCAUGGUACAACCCCCACGUCUCCUCCCCUCAGAUAAACAUUUAACAUAAUUAUUGUGCACACAUUUUUACCCAAGUUUUGGAUGUACCCCAAAAACAGGGGGUACACCCUUAAAUUCAGUAUCCCCAGAUAACCCUCAUUCGGGGGAACAACAUACUGAAAAAUCAUCCCAUUCGGUGAAAGCGUUCGGGAGUUAUGGAGCUUUAAAGUUUUGACCGACCGCACAGGCACACUGGCCGAAAAUAGUUCCAGAAGUUUGGCCUUGCGGUCGGUCCUCGUUCGUGCGAUGAAAAAGCACGAAAAUCCUGCCAUCCGCAUAUAACUUGGUGUUCGCUGGAAUGCCCAUACAUAGUUGUUACGGUACCUCCAGUAAUAAAUGUGCAAACCGCCGUUUAGUUAAUGCUCCCCAUUCGCAAUAAUGUAGUCUGGUAGCGUAUGCAGUAUAAUCAUGCGAACCGAACUCCCGAACGGUACCUGUAUGGCUCUUUCCCUUCACGAACUCCAAAUCCACGAACUGACAAUAUUAGCCGAACGCCAAUAUCUUCCAAGCGGCAAAUUAUCCAAAUAAACAGUCUCUAGUCGCCGGUAAUAAAAUCCCCUCCCAAUAACGAGACCAAGCUCCGCUUUGAGGGUAAAACACGAACUGAUUUACUGUGGGCUACCUGCCCGGUAUUUAUGCAGGUCUCCCACUUGGUGGACACUCCCCUAGGGGACCAAAUGGGAGACUGGAAUUACAGAAAGACAUGGGGAAAUUUUGGACAUACAUCCCCACAAUAUUCCCAGCAUGCAUCACAGUUCCCUCCCCUCUGCUCGGGGGAUAAUUGGGAAGUAAUUCAAUUAUCUCCCCGAGCAGAGGCAAAUCGCCAUUUUAAGUACAAGUCACAAAACACAUAAAAAUCUAUAACUUUAUAACUACCGAACAUAUUGCAUUCGUGUAACUCAUCCCCAGAUAGCCUGGAUCUGAGUGCAUAUUAUUGGCGAAUAGCGCUCAGAUCCCAUUCGCAUAGUUCAAUCACCAUGGAGUCAAAGUUUAUUACAGUUUGUCGGUAUGCGAUCGACUCCAUGGGACGGCUAUCUGGGUUAAGUCCAUUCGUGUUGUUGCAUCUCCCGAACGGCCGGCAUUCGCAUGCUUUUGUCGAUUGAGAAGGGGAGGUCGUCGGCUUCAGCGGUGUUCGGUUGAAAAAGUGUCUGUUUUCAGAUCCAUGAAAUAAUCGUUGAACACCGCUGGUCUUUCGCAUGGUUAAAAUGGCCGCCGCCUCGUGGUCGACAUACGAACGACGACCACCCGGCAUUCGGUUUUAAUUGAGAUGUGUCUGUGGUUAACCGCAACGUUCUAAUUGGGAUCAAUAGGUUAACCAGCAGCACACUUCUCUUCUGGGUGGCCAUCCGUUCGGUAGUUCCGUUCGACAAAACCAGACAUUCCCUAAAACAAAGCAUACGAAUGGGAGAAUUCAUGCAAACUGCAAAACAGGCAAACACAGUACUUUUAGUCCAGACAGAUGGGUCUGUCACACGGCUCCCCCCUUGUGGAACACUCCGGCAGACCCAGCAUGACCCUUUGGCGGGUCAACUUGGGGAUGACCGGACUGAGAAGGAGUAGGGACGUCUGUUUGCCGAGAUAACCCAUCCACAUUCCCAUUCUGCUUACCGGGUCGGUAGCUGAUGGCGAAGUUGUAAGGCUGCAGUGCCAAACUCCACCUCAGCAGUCUGCCAUUGUCUCCUGAGACCCGGUUAAGCCAGACAAGGGGGUUGUAGUCCGUUACAAGGGAAACUCCUGCCCGUACAAAUAAGGGCUCAAUUUCUUCAGUGCCCAGACCAGGGCUAAACACUCUUUCUCCACUGCCGCAUAACUCACUUCCCGAGGUAGUAACUUUCUGCUUAAGUAUGCGACAGGGUGCUCUCCUCCAUCUUCCCCGACCUGGCUCAGCACAGCCCCCAGUCCAUACAUGGAAGCAUCUGUAUGAACAAGAAAACGUUUGUUAGGGACUGGGGCAGCCAGGACGGGGGCAUUCACAAGAGCCUGCUUAAGUGCCUGAAACGCGGCUUCACAAGCUGGAGACCACAGGACCUGCUUAGGUAAAUUCUUCUUAGUCAGGUCAGUCAAGGGCUUGGCAACUGUACUGUAGUCGGGGACAAAACGUCGGUAAUACCCUGCCGUCCCCAGGAAGGCCAGCACUUGGGUCUUGGUGAUAGGUGUGGGCCAGUUAGCUACAGCCUCUACCUUGGCUGGCUCCGGUCUCUGGCUUCCACAUCCUACUCUGUGACCCAAGUACUGCACUUCUGCCAUGCCUAGAUGGCACUUGUCUGGCUUCAAGGUCAGGCCUGCGGCCCGAAUCUUGUCCAGUACCACCCCCACGUGUACUAAAUGGUCUUCCCAGGACUCACUGUAGACCGCAAUGUCAUCCAGGUAUGCACAUGCGAAUUCCUGGAAGCCAUGGAGGAGCCUAUCCACCAUACGCUGAAAGGUAGCCGGAGCAUUCUUCAUCCCAAAUGGCAUAACCUUAAACUGGUACAGGCCAAAUGGGGUGACGAAGGCCGACUUAGAGAUAGCAUCCUCGGCCAGGGGGAUCUGCCAAUAACCUUUACAUAGGUCAAUGGUGGUCAGGUAGCGCCCCCUGGCAAUGCGGUCUAAUAACUCGUCUACCCGAGGCAUAGGGUAGGCGUCAGUGGUGGUCCGCUCGUUGAACACAGAACCGGGUGGUCCCAUCUUUCUUAGGCACCAGAACUACAGGCGAGGCCCAAGGGCUGUCUGAGUGUUCGAUAACCCCCAGCCUGGUCAUCUCCUGUAUCUCCUUCCGCAUUCCUUCCCGGACUGCUUCAGGGUUGUCGUAGGGGGUUCUGUCCGGGCGUCUCGACCUUGUGUACAGCUAGGGUAGUGUACCCGGGUUCUUGGGAGAACGUCGCCUGCUUCUCCCACAGCAGCUGUCUUGCCUGUACCUUCUCUGCCGGGUUUAGCUGGUUCCCCAGCUGUACAAGACUAGUAAGGUCCGUCUGGGGAUCCCUCUCUAACAAGUCAGGUAAAGGUAAGUUCUCGGGGUCGUCAGUAGCUGGGGCACAUACUGCCGCAACAUCCUCUGGUCUCUCCUGAUACUCCUUCAGCAUGUUCACAUGGAAGGAUCGCUGAAUCCUUUCAUCUGAACAGCUGGCUAUAAGGUGGGUAGUAUCACAUACCUGAGCUAACACUUUAUACGGGCCCUGCCAAGAUGCUUGCAUCUCGUUCGUCUUCACAGGCUUGAGUACCAGAACCUUCUGCCCAACCUGGAAGACCCGCUGUCGGGCACCCCGAUCGUACCACCGCUUCUGUCUCCCCUGGGCCGCCUGGAGAUUCUCCCUUACCAUCAGGGAUAGUUUCUCCAUGCGGUCCUGGAGUUCCAGAACAUAUGGUACUAUGGGGGUCCCUUCUUGCUCUGUCUCCCCCUCCCAGUGUCCUCUAAUGAGAUCUAGGGGUCCACGGACCCUUCUCCCAUAGAGUAACUCAAAGGGGGAUAACCCAGUAGAUUUCUGGGGCACCUCUCUGUAUGCAAAUAGCAGAUGAGGCAGGAAUCGCUCCCAGUCUCUGCAAGUGUCAGUAAAGGUCCUCAACAUCUGUUUGAGGGUGCCAUUAAAUCGCUCGCAGAGACCGUUAGUCUGUGGGUGAUACGGUGAGCUAAGCAGAGGUUUAAUACCGCACACCUUCCACAGCUGCUGGGUAAGCACAGCGGUGAACUGAGUUCCCUGAUCGAAGAGAAUUUCCUGAGGGAACCCGACCCUAGUGAAAAUUUUAACCAGGGCAUCAGCAACCGUCUCUGCCUCUAUAUUAGACAGCGCUACUGCCUCUGGAUAACAUGUGGCAUAGUCCACCACGGUGAGAAUAUACUUCUUACCUGAUGGGCUAGCCCUGGCCAGUGGACCCACAAUGUCAACGGCUAUGCGGGAAAAGGGUUCUCCAAUGAUAGGCAUCGACUGAAGCCUAGCUUUUGGGUGAUCCCCCCGCUUACCUACCCGUUGACAGGUGUCACACGUGCUACAAUAAACCCGCACAUCUUGGUUAAAAUUGGGCCAGAAGAAGUUUUGUGUGAUCCUAUGAGCUGUGCGGCGGGAGCCUAGAUGGUCUGCUAACGGCACAUCAUGCCCAAUCCGCAGAAUCUCCUGCCGGUAUUUUGCAGGUACCACUAGCUGUCGAUUCUGCGGAGGGGUACUCGGCUUCUGGGACGGUUUCGGGAUCCUGUACAAUCUAUCCCCCACCCACUCGUAGUGCUCCCCUGUACAAUCUAUCCCCCACCCACUCCUUCUCCCCCAGAAUCGGCCCUGGCCCUGUACUUUGCUAGUGUCAGGUCUUCCCUGGUUUCCUUCCCGUACAUCUCUGGGGUAUCCCAGCCUAAAGCCUAAAGGUCUAAGGUACAAGUCGGGGUAGAGAGUCUUACCUGGGUCUCAGCAGCAGGUGGGCCGGUCUUGGCGGCACGGGUCUGGGCACGGGUCGUGACAGCAUCCACUUCAGCGGGACCCAUGGGAGCGAAGGCUGAAACAAGGGGCGCCAAGUCAUUGCCAAGGAGGACAUCCGCUGGUAAGUCCUUCAUGACCCCCACAUUCACAUGUCUAGCGCCCACUCCCCAAUCCAAAUGUACCCGGGCAACGGGUAGACGAAACACGGCACCCCCGGCUACUCGCACUGCGACCGUGUCCCCGGUAUGUUGUGCUUCGGAUACCAGGUGCUUCUGGAGCAAAGUCAUGGUUGCCCCGGUAUCCCGUAGACCACUGACCUCCUUCCCGUUUACUUUCACACACUGCCGGUGGUGCUGUCUGUUAUCCCGGUGGGCAGCCUGAAUGGGGUCUGCCUCAUGCAGGAUGCCCCAGCACUCCUCUUCCUCUACACAGUGAGCACAGUGAGGGAGGUCGCGGAUUUCGCUGGUCUUCAGGCAGGGUCGCUAUCAGGCAUGACAAAUCGCUAACGGUUGCCAUGGGCCCGGCGGGUCCGGGGCCCGGAUUGCUUCAGGUCGUCCGCCUCGAUCAGUGGUACAUACCGGUCGCGGUGUGCCUGGCGCACCGGCUAUGCCCACAGGCCAGCCUCUUUCUCCUGGGGCUCAGCAGGCCCCCCAGAGGCUGGCCUCUGAAAGUUGCUGUGCUGGAGCACUUCUGUGUUUUCUUUUCUCUUCGCUUCAAGACAGACUGAUGUCGCGGGAGCCGGAAGAUGACGUCAUCUUCCGGCUCCGGCAUUAGUACGGUGCGCGAGGGAGCUGAAGAGGAAGCACACAGAGAGUGCUCCCUCGCGCGCCGGCCCGCCCGCCGCCGGGUGUGGGGGGGAAUGAAAUUAAUGGGAGGGGGAAGAAUUAAAUGGGAGGUGGGGAAAUGAAAUUUAUGGGAGGGGGGGACAGGAAUGAAAUUCGAGGGGGAGGGGGGACAGGAAUUAAAUUUAAGGGGAGGGGGGACAGGAAUAAAAUUUGAGGGAGGGAGAGGAAUUAAAUUUGAGGGAGGGAGAGAGCAAGGAAAUUUGAAGGAGGGAGAGAGGAAGGAAAUUUGAGACGGGGAGAGGAAGAAAAUUUGAGGGACGGGGGGAGAGGAAGAAAAUUUGAGGGACGGGGGGAGAGGAAGGAAAUUUGAGGGACGGGGAGAGGAAGGAAAUUGGAGGGGGGGUGAAGGAAAUGAGGGGGAGAAGAAGGAAAUUGGAGGGGGGGAAGAAGGAAAUUGGAGGGAGGGAGGGGGAGAAGAAGGAAAUUGACGGGGGGAGGGGGAGAGAUUGACAUCCAUCACACACAAUGCACCCCUUGCACACAGAAAAACACACAAUGCAUUACACACAGACACACGUACACAAGCAAUGCAUCCCUUACACACAGCAACACACAAUGCACCCCUUACACACACUCAAUGCAUUCCUUACAGACACACACUGCAUCCCAUACAUACACAAACUCAUCUUGCAGCCCUUACACAUACAAACACAGAUUCACACAAUGCAUUCCUUACACACAUCAGGACAUCCCCCACACACACACUCCACUCCCUGUGAACAAACUCAUUGAUGGAACAUGAAGGUGGACCCUGGGACCCAGACCUUGAGCUGUGUAAAGGGCCCUCAAGAAAAUGGAGCUGCUUCCCGUUCUCCAGAACAGUGAUUUUUGUGACCACAGUUACAAACCGCCUCCAGAGAGCCUGUUGUACACCAGACCAGUGGAGCCAGACGGCAGCUAGAGCCCAUCAUCAUCCUCAUCUGGUUGUAAGUAGGCAAUCUAGUAUAUUAUUCGUGGCACUAAUCUCUAAUUUACCUCACAUUAAAGGGACACUAUAGUCCCCAGAACAAUUGCAGCUUAAUGUAGUGGUUCUGGUGUCUAGCCUGUCCCUGCAGGCCUUUUAAUGUAAACAUGGCGGCACUGCAGCACUGGUGUUAGUUAACAUGGCAGAUCAUAUGGGUGGGGCAUUGUGAUGUCCCAUUGUGAUGGGAUUCGGGGGGGGGGGGCAGCACUUUGGGCGGACUGGGGGGCCAGGGGGCCCAGACCUUGAGCUGUGUCAGGGGCCCCAACAUUUCUGAUGGCAGCCCUGCCUCUAGGACUGGUUCUGGUUGGCGCUGUUCAUCGGGCACUCGGGUCGCUUGUGCCCUAGCUGCUUGCACAGGUAGCACCGAAUGGGUUGAGUGUACUCUCGUGAAUUAAACCGAGGUGGCUGUUGGUACAGGGCAGAUGGAGGAGGUGCUGAUGGGCGAUUCAUGGGAGGCUGAUAUAGGUUGGCUGCUGUUAGUGCUGCUGGCCUGUACUCCACUCUGGCGGGAGCCUUGCUGAUGAGACUGUCCAGUUUGCGGGCGUUGGUAUACUCAUCCGCCAGGCGAGCUGCUUCGUGUAGAGUGGAGUGUUUACGGUCCCUUACCCACUCUCUGACCCCUGCUGGUAAUUUAUCAAAACAAUGUUCCAAAAGAAACAUCUGCAGCACCUCUUCUCCGGACACAGCCUGGCACCCAGCCAUCCAGUGGGCGGCUGUGCGAUGCACCUUACAUGCCCAUUCCACGUAUGAGUCCCCAGAGGUCUUGACAGUGUCUCGGAACCUCCUCCGGUACGCCUCAGGUGUAACGGCAUACCGGGAGAGUAAAGCUUCCCUGACGGCCACAUAAUCCCCAAUCUCCUCAUCAGGAAUGGCCCGAAAAGCCUCGCUGGCCCGGCCGGAUAACUUGCCGGACAAUAUAGUAACCCAGUCUUCCAGGGGUACCUUGUGCAGGGCACAUUGCCGCUCAAAAUCAGCAAGGUACCCAUCAAUCUCUCCUUCUGUCUCACUGAAGGCUUUAAACGCAGUAAACGGCACCUUCUUUCUUUCCCCCAGGUUUGCUGUGACUGGGGCUGCUGCAGCACCGCUUUGGCGAAGCAGGUUGGCCUCCACAGCGGCCAUGACCUGGGUGAUGACUUCUGUAGAUGGGUUGGGACCAUAAUGUGCCAGCCUGAUUCUUACCGCCCGGUCAAAGCUUGCCUCCUCGGGGGUUCUGUCAGCUGUGCUGGGUCCAUUGGUUCCCUCUGCCGCUGGUACUCCAUCCAUUUCCAGCAAUAGUGCAAUAAUAUCCCUCUUCCUGAGGUUACUGGCUUGUCCGCCUCUUUGCUUUAAUAAAUCCUUUAGGGUAGCUCUUCUCAGGUUCUGGUAUUGUAAUUCCAUUUAGUCCUGGUUGUAGUGGUCUCUUUGGGCGCUGAGGAUCAUCCCGUCGCUUGCCACCAGUUGUUACGGUACCUCCAGUAAUAAAUGUGCAAACCGCCGUUUAGUUAAUGCUCCCCGUUCGCAAUAAUGUAGUCUGGUAGCGUAUGCAGUAUAAUCAUGCGAACCGCCAGCUAGGGAACACUCCAAACUCCCGAACGGUACCUGUAUGGCUCUUUCCCUUCACGAACUCCAAAUCCACAAACUGACAAUAUUAGCCGAACGCCAAUAUCUUCCAAGCGGCAAAUAAUCCAAAUAAACAGUCUCUAGUCGCCGGUAAUAAAAUCCCCCCCCAAUAACGAGACUGUAACGGAGCUCCUUGUGCCGUUGACGGAUGCUCCUAGCGCUUCCUGAGGACUGCAAGCACUGCAGCAGACACAACAACCAACGCAGACUCCGCAACCGCCGUAUCUUGACUGGAGUCUCGCCGUCUUCCUUCCACCCUGGAUCAGCUUCUGUCCUCCAGGACUGUGUGGGAAAGAACUCUUCCUUCCACUCUGUAUGAACCUCCAGCAUCCAGGACUGUGUGGUGAAGACCCCUCCUCCAAUGAGAGCGUGUCAGGAACAAGCUCUUAAAAGAGCUAAGUGACUCAAGCUCAGGGGAGCAUGCAGAGCAUAGCAAUCCCCAGUGUGAUGAUAACAGCUCCCUCCAAUAACGAGACAAGGCUACGUUUAGAGUGAUCAAGAAGAACUGUCAAAACCUUUAUUUCCCUUGGGACCAGCCAGUAGAGUCACCACAAUAACAUUGUUGUGAAACCUCAAUAAAAUCACAAACAGUCAAACCAUAUCAAGCAACACACAGUGACUUAUCACAACACAAUGGCACAUUUUUAAAGGGGUGGGGGGAGACAAUAUUUAACAGUAAAUAUCUCACCUGCCUGCAGAAUUAGCAAUAUGCAAAUCUACCCGAAUAUGCAAAUGAACCAGUCUUGCAAUUCAGGUAGUGCAUAUUGCUGUUGCUACCAACAGAGGGCACUAGACAAGCUCCAUAGCCAAACCCACCUAGUUGGUAGCAAACCUCAGCAAUACAAGAGAGCAGGCAAUACAUUACACAGUACACACACACACACACUAUAAACAAUUACAUUACACACACCCUGCACCUAUAAUGGGUACAGGGUGACUAAAACAUAAGAUAAAGAGUCAUAGUCACAGGGGAGGAGGCUGGCAAGUAGGCCUCUCCAGGACCAAGUGGCGAAGGGCACUUCGUCACAUAUCUCCCCUUCGGGGGUAAGACUAACCAGGCACCUGACUUUCUGUCGGUCAGUGCCUAAGUUAGUCGAGUCACCCACCGACCAUAAGCAAGUGCCAGAGUAGCCCACCCACAACAAACAGUUAUUAGAGCAGCCCACCCACAGCAAACAGUGACUGCACCUGGGUAUUCCUCUGGGGUGAUGGGGCAACACGCUGUGGGGACUUGAGGGGCAGAGGCCAGCGGCGCUCUGCCCUGAUGCCAGCGCUUCUGCUGGGAGGAGGGGGGUGCAGGCCAGUCCUGUGACAAGGGGAUCGGUAGGGCAGAGGCCAGCAGCGGUCUGCCCUGAUGCCAGCUCUUCUGCUGGUAUAGCCUGCAGGACAUCAGGCUCUGGACAAGGGACAAAGGGAGGGCAGAGGCCGACUGCACUCUGCCUAGCUGCCAGCUCUUCUGCUGGGGGGCUUGGGACAUAGUACGGCUCAGUAGCCAGGGGAACGUGGGGGUCAGUGGGGGUUAACAUCUCCCCUGUUAACCCUGGGGCCAAGUUAGGAGUUAGCUGGGGCGGGGAAUUCGUACUUACCCCCUCCUCCUGUUGUCCCUGUGAGGGUAGUUGGGGAUCUGGACAGGCUGUCCAGCAUCCCUGUAGGUCGGGCACAGAGACCACGGUCCCCUCUGCGCCAUCUGGGAGAUUGGUGUCUCCCCUUGGUAGGGUAAGCUGCCGCUGGGGAGAUAGGGUGCUGUGCUCCUCUCCCUGAAACAAAGGCUGCCGCUGGAGAGGGAGACCGCCUGUCUCCACUCCCAUAACAUUGUCCUGCUGCUGGAGAGAGAGAGACCAACUGUCUCUGCUCCCUGUAGGACACACUGCUGCUGGGGAGGAAGGACGACACCUUCGGCUCCCUGGAAUUCGCACUGCCGCUGGGGAGGAAGGACGACACCUUCAGCUCCCUGGAAUUCGCACUGCCGCUGGGGAGGAAGGACGACACCUUCAGCUCCCUGUAACUUGCACUGCCGCUGGGGAGUUAGGACGACACCUUCGGCUCCCUGUAACUUGCACUGCUGCUGGGGAGGAAGGACGACACCUUCGGCUCCCUGUAACUUGCACUGCCACUGGAGACUAGGUGUCCAUAUCCUCAACCUCCACAGUUGUCGCUCAAAGGCCAUUGCCGCACUGUUCUCAGCACUCAACUGGCGCAUUACUUGGUGGACCACCUCGUUUGAAAGGUCUGGGCCAUAGCAGACCAACCGCCUCCUUACCUCCUCAAUGUAAGCGUCGUUCUCGUAGCGACGUAUCAUGUUGCGGUGCUCUUCGCAGGGCUCUAUCCAUCCCUGCUCCAUGCUGCUGUAGUUAGGGACGCUGCACAGUGGCCAGCGUUGCCCUCAAUAACCUCUCAUACGAUACCAGUGUCUCCGAGCUGCUUCUCCUCGCACUAGGACGCCAACCCACCGCUGCCACCAAUGUAACGGAGCUCCUUGUACUCCGACCGAGUACCCUCUGUUGACGGAUGCUCCUAGCGCUUCCUGAGGACUGCAAGCACUGCAGCAGACACCACAACCAACGCAGACUCCGCAACCGCCGUAUCUUGACUGGAGUCUCGCCGUCUUCCUUCCACCCUGGAUCAGCUUCUGUCCUCCAGGACUGUGUGGGAAAGAACUCUUCCUUUCACCCUGUAUGAACCUCCAGCAUCCAGGACUGUGUGGUGAAGACCCCUCCUCCAAGGAGAGCGUGUCAGGAACAAGCUCUUAAAAGAGCUAAGUGACUCAAGCUCAGGGGAGCAUGCAGAGCAUAGCAAUCCCCAGUGUGAUUAUAACAGCUCCCUCCAAUAACGAGACAAGGCUACGUUUAGAGGGAUCAAGAAGAACUGUCAAAACCUUUAUUUCCCUUGGGACCAGCCAGUAGAGUCACCACAAUAACAUUGUUGUGAAACCUCAAUAAAAUCACAAACAGUCAAACCAUAUCAAGCAACACACAGUGACUUAUCACAACACAAUGGCACAUUUUUAAAGGGGUGGGGGGAGACAAUAUUUAACAGUAAAUAUCUCACCUGCCUGCAGAAUUAGCAAUAUGCAAAUCUACCCGAAUAUGCAAAUGAACCAGUCUUGCAAUUCAGGUAGUGCAUAUUGCUGUUGCUACCAACAGAGGGCACUAGACAAGCUCCAUAGCCAAACCCACCUAGUUGGUAGCAAACCUCAGCAAUACAAGAGAGCAGGCAAUACAUUACACAGUACACACACACACACACUAUAAACAAUUACAUUACACACACCCUGCACCUAUAAUGGGUACAGGGUGACUAAAACAUAAGAUAAAGAGUCAUAGUCACAGGGGAGGAGGCUGGCAAGUAGGCCUCUCCAGGACCAAGUGGCGAAGGGCACUUCGUCACAGAGACCAAGCUCCGCUUUGAGGGUAAAACACGAACUGAUUUACUGUGGGCUCCCUGCCCGGUAUUUAUGCAGGUCUCCCACUUGGUGGACACUCCCCUAGGGGACCAAAUGGGAGACUGGAAUUACAGAAAGACAUGGGGACAUUUUGGACAUACAUCCCCACAAUAUUCCCAGCAUGCAUCACAGUUCCCUCCCCUCUGCUCGGGGGAUAAUUGGGAAGUAAUUCAAUUAUCUCCCCGAGCAGAGGCAAAUCGCCAUUUUAAGUACAAGUCACAAAACACAUAAAAAUCUAUAACUUUAUAACUACCGAACAUAUUGCAUUCGUGUAACUCAUCCCCAGAUAGCCUGGAUCUGAAUGCAUAUUAUUGGCGAAUAGCGCUCAGAUCCCAUUCGCAUAGUUCAAUCGCCAUGGAGUCAAAGUUUAUUACAGUUCGUCGGUAUGCGAUCGACUCCAUGGGACGGCUAUCUGGGUUAAGUCCAUUCGUGUUGUUGCAUCUCCCGAACGGCCGGCAUUCGCAUGCUUUUGUCGAUUGAGAAGGGGAGGUCGACGGCUUCAGCGGUGUUCGGUUGAAAAAGUGUCUGUUUUCAGAUCCAUGAAAUAAUCGUUGAACACCGCUGGUCUUUCGCAUGGUUAAAAUGGCCGCCGCCUCGUGGUCGACAUACGAACGACGACCACCCGGCAUUCGGUUUUAAUUGAGAAGUGUCUGUGGUUAACCGCAACGUUCUAAUUGGGAUCAAUAGGUUAACCAGCAGCACACUUCUCUUCUGGGUGGCCGUCCGUUCGGUAGUUCCGUUCAACAAAACCAGACAUUCCCUAAAACAAAGCAUACGAAUGGGAGAAUUCAUGCAAACUGCAAAACAGGCGAACACAGUACUUUUAGUCCAGACAGAUGGGUCUGUCACAUUAGUAUAUCCUUUCUACCGAACGGUUGACCGUUCAUUAGUUUCAGCACGAAAUUACGUUAUUAUGGAGGUUUCAGUGGUGUUCGCCUACUCGAGUGUCCGUUUUUAGUUCCAAAUCACCGCUGUUUGUGCGUAAGAUGGCCGCGAACACGUGCAAAGUACCGAAAUGGUGGCCACCUAGAUUUAACACAAAGGAUUCAGGCAUUUAUCAAGUGAACGGUAUAUGCCGGUCUGGGAGGUAAAAUACCACUUAACUGCACAGCAGGGUGGUCUUGUGUUCGGCAGUUUGCAUUCGUUUUUGUGCUAUAAUAACCCAUAUAAAUAGGUAAGUAUUUUCCUUUGUAUUCCCAGGCUUACAUAUUGUUAAAUAUGUACAGGCAGAAAUUAUAGUUCUGUUACACACAGUAUUUAUGUGGUUCCCCAUGCAAGGGGUUUCCCUACUGACUUUACAGGGGUUGUACAGUAGGGGACUGUGGCAAAACCGGCCUCGCCACGUGUCCUUGGAGGGGGCUGCUUUCCCGCCUCUUGCCUUUGGACUAUGGACCAGACUUUAUGUGAAUGUGUUAACCCAGAUAGCUAUGCCAUGGAGCCCAUUCGCGUAGUUAAAGACUUCGGCUCCAUGGCAAUUGAACUGUGUGAAUAGGAUCUGAGCGCUAUUCGGUAGUUUUGUGCGCUCAGAUCCCAGCUAUCUGGGGAUAUGUGACAUGUCUGUGUUUUAUGUAUAAAAUGUGACUUUGUGUAUUUUAUAAUAUUUUAAUGCUUUGUGCUCACCAUGUGCAUAAUGGAGUCUUGUGUCUGUCCUGGGAGAUAAUUGAAUUACUUCUCAAUUCAAUCUCCAGUAUAGAAGACUCUGAAACUGGUUUGGGCCGGAAAGCCAUGCUUCAUUUAGUCACAAAGGACUUUCCCUUAACUUUUGAACCCCUGGUCUGAUUCGUGCCAUUUUUUAAUAUGUUGUUCCCCUGAAUGGAUUGAUUAUGAAAAUGUAUGUUUUAUGUUUGUGACAUGUAUAUUUUAGAAGUUAUAAAUAUUGUGUAAAAACUGUAUUCCUCUGCCGGUGAUAAUGAGAUUACCCAUUGUGUUCAGUAAUCAUAUCACAGCAGAGGGGAGGAUUUUGUGUGGGAGUGUCUGGGUGUAUUGUACGGAUUGAUUGGUUGUUUUGUAACGCCCUGUGGGCUGUACUAUGUUUGUGGAUUGGGAAUAAAAGAGACUGUAUGUGACAGUACAGGGAGUUCCUGUUUUAACCCUCAAAGUGAAGUGUCGUCUCAUUAUUGGGAGAAGGAUUUAUUGUAUGCUGUUCCAGUUUGACUGCUAGGAGAGUAAACCUAUUCGUAUGGUUCCUAUUCAACUGUCUACAGCAUUCAUAUGCUUUGGAGAAUUUAUUUGUUUCUCCGGUUCGGUGAUUGUGGUGUCUGCCAGAGUGCUUGGAGUCCUCAUGAAGCGCUAGGAGCAUCCUUCAACGGAGGUACCCAGUCGGGGUGCCAGGUGAUCAGUUACAGGGACUACAUGGGGAACUUAACAACCCGGACAUUUCUCCCAUCAUGCACUGCUGUACGAGAGGGAUACUCCCACUAGAAUAUCCUGUUAAGUGGAUUAUCCCUCCGUGCAUCAGAACUGGCUUUUCACAUAAAACAUAACAUUAUUCAUGCUAUAUUACCGAAUGGCCGUUCGGUAGAUAGCUGGGGUCUGAGCGCACAUUUCGUGAAAGUACCGCUCAGAUCCCAGCACAUCCAGCCGAACGCCGCAUGAAUUACACUUCAAUACACACUUUGUAUAAAAGACACAAAUCCCAAUUUUAGUUCCAGGCACUCGAUGACAAAAUACUGCUGAGCUAAAUAAGGAUCCAAGAUGGCCAACCGCCGCGUGGUUGGUAUCCGAACGGUGGCCACCCUGAAUCUCUAAUAACUACCGAAAGAUACAAUGUUGCAAUAUUUAAUGGGAGCCACACGACCUCCUGUGUGUGGUCUCCCAUUCGGUAGUUUAUUCGUUUCACGAACAGUGUUGAAAUUCCCUGUUCGUGAAACUACGGUAUGAAUGCUGGUGGUUUUUAUGCCGCCAGCAUACGAAUGCUCUUGUUUGCAUAAAAUACAGGUACAGGCAGGGCCGGCCUUAGGCAAUUAGGCGCCCUGUGCAAAAAGUCUUCACGGCGCCCCCCCCACCUCCCACCAAGUUGCCUGAAUACAGUAACACACACAGGCACCGGGGACGUGUGUAUCACGAGGCAAACAAGGCAUCUGCCUUGGGCGCCACUUUGCAGGGGGCGGCAAAAAAAAGCAUCCCUCCAAACCCCCAGGCAGAUCCCUUGCUUGCCUCGCAUCCUGGGGGGCUCAAGAGCUGACCGGCUGGCCACUUUUGAGCCCCCCCAAGGCUGGCAGCGGGCAGCGAAGGAGCAUACUCACCUGAGCUUUUCCUGCUCAGCUUCCUCUGCGCCGCUUAAUGAACCCGGGAGCCAGAAUAUGACGUCAGUCCGGCUCCCGGCAUCACUAAGCACUGCUUACUCAGCCUGUGCGCCCCCUGCCUGCCUGCCCAGCAGCCACACUGGACUGCUGGUAAGAAAUCCACUCCAGCUUUCCCAGGGAGGCUGGGUGGAUUUAAAAUAAAUGUAAAAAAUAUUAGUUUGUGAGUGUUAGUGGAAAUGUCUGUGUGUGUGUCUGUGAGUGUUUAUUUUGAAGUGAAUGUGUGUGUGUGUGUGUGUGUGUCUGUAAGUGUGUAAUUGUGUGUGUCUGUAAGUGAAUGUGUGUGUCUGUAAGUGAAUGUGUGUGUGUCUGUGAGUGAAUGUGUGUGUUGGUCAGUGAGUGUAUAUGUGUCAGUCAGUGAGUGUGUAUGUGUCGGUCAGUGAGUGUGUAGGUCAGUGAGUGUGUAGGUCAGUGAGUGUGUGUCGGUCAGUGAGUGUGUGUCGGUCAGUGAGUGUGUGUCAGUCAGUGUGUAUGUGUCGGUCAGUGGAGUCGUGCAUCUUUCAGUGAGUGCUUGCGUCUGUCAGUGAGAGUGUGCAUCUGUCAGUGUGUGUCCAAGUAAUAGUGUAUGUGUGUAUGUCAUUGUUUGUCAGUGUAUAUGAGAGUGUGUGUCUGUCAGUGAGUGUGCGUCUGUCAGUGAGUGAGCGUCUGUCAGUCAAAGUGCGGCCUUGACAGGAAGGGGUGGGGGAAAUUUAAACUCGGUUACAGGCAUGUACACACACACUCAGUUAAAGGCAGUCACACAUACAGGCACAGGCACAAACAAUGGCACAGCUACAGCGACACACACAGACAGACAGUCACAUAGGCAGUCACACACACAGACAGACACACAGUAACACACACAUAGACAGUUAUACACACACAGGCAGGCAGUCACACAGAUAGAAAGUCACACACACAGGCAGGCAGUCACACACAGACAGAUAGUUACAGACAGACACACACAGGCAGGCAGGCAGUCACAUACAGGCAGUCACACACACAGGCAGUCACACACACAGACAGACAGUCACACAGACAGUCACACAGACAGACAGUCUCACACACACAGGCAGUCACACAGACAGACAGUCACACAGACAGACAGUCACACAGACAGACAGUCACACAGACAGGCAGUCACAUACAUGGGCAGUCACACAGACAGACAGUCACACAGACAGUCACACGCACACAGGCAGGCAGUCACACAGACAGUCACACACAGGCAGGCAGUCACACACAGAGACAGUCACACACACACACAGAGACAGACAGUCACACACACACACACAAGGACAGGCAGUCACACAGACAGUCACACACACACACAGACAGUCACACGCACACAGGCAGUCACACAGACAGUCACACACACACACACACACACAGACAGUCACACGCACACAGGCAGGCAGUCACACAGACAGUCACACACACAUAGUCACACAAACAGGCAAACAGUCACACACACACACUUACCUCUUUCCAGUGGAUGCAGUUGGCUGAUGGGGAAGCAUCUUUCCCUCUUCCUGUACAGCAGGGGCUUCGGGAGGUAUUAGCCCCGUCUCCGCCUCUCGAUAAGCCCCACCUCCGCCACUCGGUAAACCCCGCCCCCUCUGCCGCGAUUUUUUUUUUUUUUUUUUUAAAUAGACCCGGGUGGAGAAUAAUUAAUCCUCCAGCCAGGUACCUCUUUUAGCUCCCCUGCGCUCCGGCCAUGAGUGAGCUGUGUCGGCCACAGGGCGCCCCCUGUUCCAUGGCGCCCUGUGCGGUCGCACAGCUCGCACACCCCUAAGGCCGGCCCUGGGUACAGGCAUUCGCAUAAAAUACAGGUACAGGUAUACACUUGGUUCUAACAGCCUUAAAGCUACAUCAUCAUAUUAAUGCAGAUACAGUCUUAAGUGGCUAGUUUUGCCACAAUGCUCCCCCAGAACCAAGCCGGCAUACACAGUCUGAUCCCAACGGAUCAGCUUGGGGAUGUCCGGAGGAGUACUCACAGAUCACUUUUCAAUGUCUGUCUGUCUGGAUAACCCGUCGGCGUUGCCAUUUUGCUUCCCAGGGCGGUAGUGGAUUGUAAAGUCAAAAGGCUGCAGCGCCAAACUCCAGCGCAGCAGCCUGGCAUUGUCUCCUAACACCCUGUUCAGCCACACCAAUGGGUUGUGAUCUGUAAGCAAUGUAAAGGGUUGCCCAUACAAACAGGGUUGCAGUUUUUUGAGGGCCACACCACUGCCAGGCAUUCCUUUUUGAUGGCGGCGUAGCUUACUUCUCUGGGUAAAAGUUUUCUGCUGAGGUAAGCCACUGGGUACUCGCCGCCAUCUGCUCCAACUUGACUCAGUACUGCUCCCAAUCCAAACAUAGAAGCGUCUGUAUGGACGAGAAAACGUUUAGUUGGAUCAGGAGCAGAAAGUACAGGUGAUUGAAUAAGCGCCGUCUUAAGCUGUUAAAUGCCUGUUCACACUCUGGGGCCCAUACUACUACCUUAGGGAGAUUCUUAAGUCUGUGAGGGGUUAAGUCAGUGAGGGGUUUUGCUAGGGUGCUGUAGUUGGGCACGAAUUUGCAAUAGUACCCUGCGGUACCUAGAAACGCGAGGACUUGCGUCUGGGUGCGGGGGGUUGGCCACUUGGUGACUGCCUCUAUUUUAGCGGGUUCGGGCUUCUGUUGACCGCUUUCUACCCUGUGCUCUAGGUAGUGAACCUCUGCCAUCCCUACGUGGCACUUACUGGGUUUGAGGCUUAGUCCUGCCUCCCUAAUACGGUCUAGUACGGCCAGGGCCGUCUUUAACGCGGGGCAAACGGGGCAGCUGCCCGGGCCCUGUCCCUGCUGGGGGGCCCGAGGUAACUACCCUGUUUGCCCUCUGCCCGCAAACUAUGGCGGCCCAUCGGGUGGCCCAUGCUCUUAGGGCCACCCGGUGGGCAGGGCCGGACUGGCCCACCGGGAUACACACAACGCCCUGUUCAGCACGGAGUUUCUGUUUCNNNNNNNNNNNNNNNNNNNNNNNNNNNNNNNNNNNNNNNNNNNNNNNNNNNNNNNNNNNNNNNNNNNNNNNNNNNNNNNNNNNNNNNNNNNNNNNNNNNNGUCGAGCUGCACUCCGGUCCGCGGUGGCCGGCCGGCCGGAGUGAUAGGAAGACGCACACUGAGUGUGCACUUCCUGUCAGUCCGGCCGGUUACAGGAAACAGAAACUCCUGUUCCGCGCGGAGUUUCUGUUUCCUGUAACCGGCCGGACUGACAGGAAGGGCACACUGAGUGUGCACCUUCCCACCGCCAACAAGGACCUGGGCGCAGCCCGGGCCACGCCACAGGGAGGCAAGAAGAGGAGGGGGGGGAACAAGAAGAGGAGGGAGGAACAAGCAGGGGGGAACAAGAAGAGGGGGAACAAGAAGAGGAGGGGAAUAAGAUGAGGGGGGGAAUAAGAAGAGGGAGGGAGGGAUAAGAAGAGGAGGGGGGGAAUAAAAAGAGGAGGGGGGAAUAAGACAGGAGGGGGAAUAAGAAGAGGGAGGGAGGGGAACAAGAAGAGGGAGGGGGGAAUAAGAUGAGGAGGAGGGAAUAAAAAGAGGGGAGGGAGGGACAAGAAGGGGAAUAAGAUGAGGGGAGGGAGGAUAAGAAGAGGGGAAUAAAAAGAGGGAGGGGGAAUAAGAAGAGGGAUGGGAAGGAUAAGAGGGGAGGGAGGGAAUAAAGAGGGAGGGGGGAAUAAGAUGAGGGGAGGGGAAAUAAGAAGAGGGGAGGAGGAAUAAGAAGAGGGAAUAAGAAGAGGGGAGGGGGGAAUAAGAUGGGGGGGAAUAAAAAGAGGGGGGGAAUAAGAAGAGGGGAGGGAGGGGAAUAAGAAGAGGGGAGGGGGGGAAUAAGAAGAAGGGGCAGCUCUAUAGGACAGGGGCCAAGACAGGGAGCUCUUUCACACUACGCGCGCACACACACACAAUGCAUCCCUAUACAUACACAGAAACACAACAUGCUUUCCUUACACACAGAUAAACACACAAUGCAUCCAUUACACACACACACACACAAUGCAACCCUUACACACAAAGACAAUGCAUCCUUUGCACACAUACACAGAAACAGACAAUGCAAACCCGUACACACGCAUGCAAACACACACACUUUUCUUACAUACACACAGAAACACAAUGCAUCUCAUGCACACACAUACAGACACACACCUUGCAUCCUUUAUGCAUACAAACACAGAUUCACACAAUGCAUCCCUUACACACAACCAGAAACACAUAAUACAUCCCUUAUACACAAAUACACACUGCUUCCACUACACACAAACACACUGUAUCACCUGCACAAACUGGUAACCCUAAACACUACAUACCAUAAGCACACAUAUUAGAUCCUCUACAAUAACACAUAACACAUCCCCUACACACUCCACUCCCUGUGAGCCAACUCAUGGGUGGGUGGAACUUAUGAGUGGGCCUUAUGGGCAUACUCACCGUCAGGCCCUGGGGCCCAGACCUUGAGCUGUGUAAGGGGCCCCCAAAAAAUUGAGCUGCUUCCAAUUCUCCCAGAACAUUGAAUUUUGUGACCACAGUUGCAAACAGCCUCCAGAGAUCCUGUUCUACACCAGACCAGUGGAGCCAAACUGCAGCCCAUCAUCAUCCUCAUCUGCUUCUAAGUAGGCAAUCUAGUAUAUUAUUAGUGACACUAAUCUAUAAUUUACCUCACAUUAAAGGGACACUAUAGCUUAAUGAAGUGGUUCUGGUGUCUAUAGCUGGUCCCUGCAGGCUUUUUAAUGUAAACACACACUGUGUGCAGCACUGGCGCUAGUUCAUAUGGCAGAUCAUAUGGGUGGGGCAUUGUGAUGUGACAUGUGGGGGCAGCAAAUUUUUAUUUUGUCUAGGGCGGCAAAAUCCUUGCACCUUCUCUGAUCCUGGGCAGGUGCACCAGUCUACUUGACUGGUUUUGCCCCCCAAGCCUAAGGCUGCCAGCCCUCCCCUGGCCGCUGGGGAGGUCUUUUGGCGGCCGCUGGCGGACUUGUCCUGGCGGCCGCUGAGGGAGCUGCGCGAGCUGCGCGAGCUGCGCUGGCUCUGCUCCCCAGCACGCAGCUGAAUGAGACCGGCGCCGGAAUAUGAUGUCAUAUUCCGGCGCCAGUCUCAUUCAGCAGCGUGCGAGGGCGGGAGGGCACUAACACAGGAAGCACCUCUAGUGACCAUCUGAGUGACUGUCACUAGCAAUGUCACUUUGAAGAAAUGUAAACACUGCCUUUUCUCUGAAAAGUCAGUGUUUACGUUGAAAAGCCUGUAGCGACAUGCUAUAGACACCAGUACCACUACAUUAAGCUGUGUGUGUGUGUCUGCUAGUGAGUGAGUUUGCUUGCAUGCGUGUGCCUGCUAGUGAGUGAGCUUGUGUUUUUAUGUCAAUGAGCUGAUGUAUAUCAGUAAGAUUGUUUGUCUAUGAGGCUGUGUAUCAAUGAGCUUGUGUGUGUCACUGAAAUGUCAGUGAAGUUGCCUGUGUCUGCAUGUGCGUAUGCUUACUGUAUAAUUAAACGUUUUACCCUGAAAGGACCAAUAUUUUAUAUUAGAAAAAGCAAUAUAUAUAUAUAUAUAUAUAUAUAUAUAAAAUCCAAAAUGCUAUUGUCUCCUUGCACACACACUUCAAUAAUAUUAUGCCCGGUGCUGUCAAGCCAAUGCCAAAAAUAUACAAAAAUGUAGGGAACAGAAGGCAAGCACUCACGGUCUUUUCUGGUCUCUUUAAAAGGUUUUUCUUUAUUUCAUAGGGUAAAACUUGAUUUGAUCGACGUUUCAGCCAAACUUCAUGGCUUUCAUCAGGAUCUUAACAGCUCAAAAUACAUCUUGCAAAUAACACAUUUAUAUAGCAAAACAAAUUGUACAAUCAAUAAUUAAAACACUUACCACCUGAAGGCUGCACUGCUUCCACGGCGUUCUAUCGCCGUCUCUGCGCAUGCGUCACCCUACCGCUACCCGGAAGUAGCGUGUUGACGUCAUCGUUGCCGUGGAUACCCGGUAUGUUUACCUUGCUCCACGGCAACGCAGCGAGUUGUAUCCUCGCUCUUACACAGUCAGCCUUGGCGAUCUAACUCUAUAUCAAAUCAAACAUUUAAAACACAUAUUAAACAAACAAUAUUUAACUAUUUAGAGGAAUCUUUUUCAUUUCUAACUCACAUUAUAUUAUUUAUAAAGGCUAUUGCAUAUCGGAUUCCUAGGCAUACUUAUAAAGUUAGGAUCUUACCCCCAUCUUAUCAUACAACUCUUAUUAGGUGUUUUUAAAGUUACAACUACAAAUUAUUUGCAAUAAAUUAUAUUUCAAUAACCUCAAAGUACUAAACAUGCUAUUUCUGUACAGUAAAGUGCUAAUAUUUAUAUAUUAAAGUGAAACAUGGUAUAUUAAAGUGAUACACGUGCUAUUUAUAUACAUCAAAGUGUUAAACAUGCUAUUUAUGUACAUUGCACACGUAGUAUUUUGGUACAUAUAAAUAGCACAUGUAGCACUUUGAUGUACAUAAACAACAUGUACAUCAAAGUGCUACAUGUGCUAUUUAUAUGUACCAAAAUACUACGUGUGCAAUGUACAUAAAUAGCAUGUUUAACACUUUGAUGUAUAUAAAUAGCACGUGUAUCACUUUAAUAUACCAUGUUUCACUUUAAUAUAUAAAUAUUAGCACUUUACUGUACAGAAAUAGCAUGUUUAGUACUUUGAGGUUAUUGAAAUAUAAUUUAUUGCAAAUAAUUUGUAGUUGUAACUUUAAAAACACCUAAUAAGAGUUGUAUGAUAAGAUGGGGGUAAGAUCCUAACUUUAUAAGUAUGCCUAGGAAUCCGAUAUGCAAUAGCCUUUAUAAAUAAUAUAAUGUGAGUUAGAAAUGAAAAAGAUUCCUCUAAAUAGUUAAAUAUUGUUUGUUUAAUAUGUGUUUUAAAUGUUUGAUUUGAUAUAGAGUUAGAUCGCCAAGGCUGACUGUGUAAGAGCGAGGAUACAACUCGCUGCGUUGCCGUGGAGCAAGGUAAACAUACCGGGUAUCCACGGCAACGAUGACGUCAACACGCUACUUCCGGGUAGCGGUAGGGUGACGCAUGCGCAGAGACGGCGAUAGAACGCCGUGGAAGCAGUGCAGCCUUCAGGUGGUAAGUGUUUUAAUUAUUGAUUGUACAAUUUGUUUUGCUAUAUAAAUGUGUUAUUUGUAAGAUGUAUUUUGAGCUGUUAAGAUCCUGAUGAAAGCCAUGAAGUUUGGCUGAAACGUCGAUCAAAUCAAGUUUUAACCUAUGAAAUAAAGAAAAACCUUUUAAAGAGACCAGAAAAGACCGUGAGUGCUUGCCUUCUGUUCCCUACAUUUUUGUAUAUAUAUAUAUAUAUAUAUAUAUUACUCAAUCAUCUGUCCUGGCAAGACAUAGCCUUACAUAUUACACGCGACAAUAUAUGGCGCAGUGACUUAUGGGCUGGCACAAAUUUUUUUUCCAGGGCUGCUUUGUAUCCCCAGUCCGGCCCUGCC
rnacentral:lncRNA from 1 species